UUGCUCUUGGCUUGCCCUCAGAAACAGCAGCUGAUGAUCACUACAAGUAUUCAUCUCCUCCUCCUCCUUACCACUAUCCCUCACCACCGCCUCCAGUGCAUUUACCUCCACCAGUGUACAAAUACAAGUCCCCACCACCACCUCAUCAUGUUUACAAGUACAAAUCUCCACCACCCCCACCACCACACCCAGUUUACAAGUAUAAGUCACCACCACCACCUCCUCAUCCGGUACCACACCCAGUUUACAAGUAUAAGUCACCACCACCACCUCCUCAUCCGGUAUACAAGUAUAAGUCUCCUCCGCCACCACCACACCCAGUUUACAAGUAUAAGUCACCACCACCACCUCCUCAUCCGGUACCACACCCAGUUUACAAGUAUAAGUCUCCUCCGCCACCAGUUUACAAAUAUAAGUCUCCUCCACCACCACCUCCAGUGUACAAGUACAAGUCUCCACCACCACCAGUUUACAAGUACAAAUCACCACCACCUCCUCCCCCAGUUUACAAAUACAAGUCUCCACCACCACCAGUUUACCACUACAAGUCACCACCACCUCCUCACCCAGUUUACAAGUACAAAUCUCCUCCACCACCAAUUUACCACUACAAGUCACCACCACCUCCUCCCCCAGUUUACAAAUACAAGUCUCCACCUCCUCCUCACCACUACUAAGCAAUUGCUUCUGAGGUAAUAACACUUGUUCAAUAACACUUGAUAGCCAGCUGAAUAUUUGCAGGCAAAGGAGAAGGAAACCAGUGUUUGAGACCUUCUUGAAGAUGUAGAAGCAUAAGAAUUAAAGCCCAAUGUGAAGAUGAUGAUUUCAAGUUUUUCUACGUUACCAUUUCAAUAUCUAAAUUGGUUGUAGCGCCUUAGUUCCUUUGUUUAUGGGAUUUGUAUCGUUUUACGUACCAUGCAGUACAUGUCAUGUUUGUAAGGUUUUCUAUCCUGCCGGCAAACCGCAGGUUCCAUGUAAUAAAUCAAUACUAUUUAUAUUACGACACUUUUCUCUGUUUCUCUUAUAUUUUGUCUUUAAUAUUCUUAAUCAUAUUUUUAACAAAAAUAUUCAAACACUUCAGCAAUGGUUCACCUAGUUGAUCAUCGAAGCAGAGGCAAUUCCAAUUAUUUAUCAAUAAAUAGGAUAUAACUACCAAACAAGCGAUGGCAGUUAACCCCUCCUUACUGUGUCGGUGAUCAAGGUACGCCCGUUAAUCACUGCUCUAAUUGAGAAAUAAUCCUAAGUACGCCCGUAGAAUUUAAUUCCCCAAUUGCCUUACAUAUUAGAGGAGCCCUAUUCUAACCAAAUAACGCACUAUCAGGGUUAUUUUAGAUUAGCCCGCGUAUUCCCCUGACAUAAAUCUAAUCAUGCCAGUUGUCAUUAUUUUGAGGUAAUUAAACAAUUACGGAUUUAACACCUCAAUUGACAAUAGAUUAUUAAAUUAAUUAAUUAUUCGGAUCCAAGACAAUCAAUUAAUUAAACAACCAUAAGCACUACAAUCAGAGAAUAUGCAAAUACCAAUAAAUAAAUAAAAAAUAAAAUUAAAUCGAUCUCACAAUUUUUAGGCGAAUCAGAGCAUCCGUUGUCCCUUGACUAGAGCAAGGAAAUUAGUUCAUAUUUGAUGAACUAAACCCAUACAAAAGGGAAGCGAGAAAUGCAGCCAUUAUCCUUUGAAAUCUGGAAAAUUCAACUUGUCCGAAUAUCGAAUAGAUAGUAAUACUACAAAAGGUAAUUCAUAGCUUCCCUUUCGUCUGACACACAAGAAGAAAAAAAAGGGCUGCUAAUAACUAAAGGAGGAAAAGUCAAAGUCCUAAGCUAUGCUACAAGACGAAAAACUAAAGAAGACAAAAAGGCAGUGCUCAUUCCCUGCAAUCUCAAUUCCUAUUCUAUCUAAGUGCUCUCCAAUGUGCGGCGGCUCCCCUUCCGGAGAGGACGAAGUGGCACCCUUUUUUCCUGCGCAAUUUUCCUAUAUAAAGUAGUGCUCCUUGCAGCGGCUCCUGUGCGAAAAAAUGAAGACUUCGGCCCAAUUUGCCUAACAAGGGCUCACGUUUUGUUGUUCUAAAAAUGUCCCUAGGACAAACUCUAUCAUCUGAACUCUUUUCUUGCCAAAUUAGUACCUGUUAUUAUAUUUUCGUUCUACUCCCUGAAAUAAAUGCAAAAUAUCAAAAGUGAGUAGAAUCUAGCAAUUAAUCCACAUUAGGUCAGGUAAUAGGGAAAAUUAAUAAUAAAAUAAAUGAUAAAAUUGCAAUCUAUCACGGGACCACUGUGGUAAGGUGUGUUUCGCCUAUUAUAAGGAGUUCGGAGAGUUAGACGUGUUGGAGGCGGAGGCGCGGUCACUCCUGCACGCCCUCCAGCUGUGUGCAGAUCGCGAGGUACGGGCGUUGACUGUAGAAUCUGAUUCAAAGGUGCUUGUUCAACUAGUUUGCUCGGAUAUGAGGUCGAAGUGGCCGGUGUGUAUCGUAUUGCGGGAAAUAAGACAUUUGAUCCGGCGGAUGGGUGCAUCCCUUCAUCAUAUAUUCCGUGAGGCCAAUUCGGUGGCGGACGCAUUGGCUUCUCUGCAAUUGGGAGGGCAGCAGUACUACACCUCAGGCGUGGCGCUGCCUUUCAGGCCCAGAGGAGAGGCUCUGCUGGAUCGUCAAGGAGUACCUCGCAUCCGUGAGGCGCUCACUAAGGUUUGAUAGGCUAUGUCCUCCUUUCAAAAAACUUAUUUCAUCUACUCCUUGUAAUCAUUUUUCUUAUCAAUAAAUUGAGGCUUUUUAUUUAAAAAAAAACAUAUAAUUUAAGGCAAAAAUAUGAUCCUAGCGAGUAUCGCACUGAGACAUUAGGAAACAUCAUUAAAAGAGUAUUUCUUGAGUUAGUGCAACUAUUUCUUAGGGGAAUUUAUAGUUACAAAAUUCAAAAAUUUGAGAUUCUAUUACUGAUUAAUUAAGGGCGUUAUCACUAUUUUUCUUAUUAUCACCAUUAUUUACCCCACAUACUAUAAGUUUUUUUAGGGCACAGGAAAAGAGGUGGGCCGAUGUUUAGUUAUGUACAAAAGUUCAAAAUUUGUAGAUAACUUAUCAUGUGCCCUUAGAGCGUAGAAUACAGAAAAAAUAUCUUAAACUAUAACUAAUCCUAAUAUUUUUCUCUAUGAUAAACUAGCUCUUAUCCAUUUCUUUAGAUGAUGAAAGGAAAUAGUUAGUCACCUGUCCUCUAGUGAUUACAACAGCAUCAAAACAAAUUAGCACUCUUUUCCCGUAGUUUAAAAAUCCCUCAGCCACUAAGAUUUUGCAUGUCGAACGAAUUAAGGAACAUAGAAGGUUCGUGCUGCACCACAGUGUCCUUGUUGACGAUGCAAAGACAGAAAUGCAUCCGCGUAUACUUCCUUAAGCAUUUUGAUUACUUUAUGAUUCGAACUUUUCUUGUCUGACAGCUGGACUUAAUUGAAAAACACAAGUAACAAUAUUUCAAAGUUGAUUCGUCAAAGUUUACCCAAUUGGUGAAACUUUCUUCAUAGAGCUGACUUUGUAUUAGGUGACAAUGAUAUGGAAUUGAUGUCCUUCCCUUUUUCCUUUUUUUGUGUUGAAGACGCACAACGUUUUCAAUGGCAAAUUUAUAUGGGCUUUUCACGACAAAAUGUGUUCUGAAAAGUUCAUUCCAGAGGUUAAAAUUUUGUGUGUUAAAAAUUUGCUUCUCAGGACUUUGAUGGGAAAGUCUUGGUGUUUCCAAAAAGUUUAAGCAGGAUGCUUCUGGCUUUCUCUCCAUGUAUUUGUGAGUUAGAUCUAAAAUUAUCAGGGCUCCAGAGAUCUCUUGAAAUCGCAGCAUAUAUUGAAGUCUUUCCAGAAGGAGUCUUUUUUUUUUUUUUUAUGAAUUAUGAUAGAUAAUUAAUCUGACGGUGCAUAUAUAUAUAUAUGUGAUUUGCAGUAGGGUGUUUGACGAAAUGGUUAGGCUUCCUAAGUAAUGAUAGGAAUGCCAUUUGCAAAGAAGGACAGGGGGCUGGUGCUGUCAUAUUUUAUGCGAUUUGAUCCGUUGUUGUAUAAGUUUAAACUUUUGACGUGCAAUUGUGCUAUAAUAUUAUACUAAAUAUAUGUGUGAAAUAUUUUGUCUAUAUACAUCACUUUUAUCAUGAAUACAACAGCUGAGUAUAAUAAUAUAGUAUAAUGUAAUUGUACACCAAAUAAUGUAGCAAAUAUAACAAUUGAUCCGAAUUACACGGAACCAUAACAACAAGAUCACCGCCUCCCAAAUUUUACAAAAUUAGGUUUUUUUUUUUUCUCUUAGAUUAUUGAAAAUUUUCAAAAAUAAUCUACAUAAUUUAAGCUUUUGUCCUACAAAAAUUUGAAGAGAUUUUACAUUACAAGCUUAAGCUUAGAUAUAUUAAACUUUGCCCCCAAGAUUAAUUUUCCGUUUUUAUCUAUGAACCGAUCCAUAUAGCUAGUUAGACUGUAGUCCUCACAUUUGUGGGAUUUAACACCCAAGAUUCUCCUUCUUGGAAUGUAAAAUGUAGAUCUUCUAUGUUAAUAAUUCAAGACCCUACUGUCAUAAACGAAAUGACUGAUCAACUCCUGUAAACCUAAUUUGACAACAUUUAAAUGGAGAACUUUAGCUAAAAGAAUUAUGGUCAAGCUAAAGAAAAAGCCAGUUAUUUUCCAACAUAUGCAAUCAUUGAUCAGGAAAAAAAAAAAAAAGCAAAAAGACAUCUUCAAUCAUUUAAUAGCUCACAGUGCAAAUUAACCCCUAAGCGAAAACUGGUUGCUCUAGAAUCAAAAUUUUACCUUAGUUACCCAGGCAACUUUUUUGUUGCUUUUUUUUUUUUCUUUUCCUUUUUGGGUAUAUAUAUAGCUCCAGUUUUGCCCCCUCUGUCAAGCUUAUAUAAUUAUUAAGAUAAUAAAAGUGCCUUGAAUAGUAUUAAUAUAUCCAUUGACUUGAGCUGUCAUCGAUCGGUUUGGGCUACUUCGAUUCCAUGAGAACAAAUGGUAAUAAAAGUACUCAGAAAAUAGGGAGCCAUGAAACCCUUUUGUUCUAUUCAUUGCUAAGAUGCUUUUCUCUAUAAAGAGACUUCCUAACGAAAGUACUUUGUAGAUUUCUUUACUCCAAGUGGUGCAUGGAAAAUUAAAAUAUUCAAUUAUCAAAUAAAAUUCCCUUUUUUCGGUGUAGAUUUCAUCCAUCCAGCUGUUAACACAUUUUAUGUAUCCGAAUUAUAUAUUCUCUACCAAAUAUUGUAACUUUUCUGAGCAUCUUUACAUUUUUAUUCCCACCUAACAAAUUAGUUGUUGAGCAUCUUUACAUGCUAUCGGAUCACAAGUUAAUAAUCUUUUAAAGAACAUGUUAAAUUAAUUUAUUGGUAUGAAUAGUCAAAGAAGUAUAUUAAAGUUAGUAAUCUUUAAACACCACGAUGCAAUUAAUACUUUCAAGCUCAAGGUCUUUUUUUUUUUUUUUUUUGGUACUGUACUUCCUUGCUUUAUAGUAUGCACGUUUAUUUCUGUGGAUUGCUUAAGCUUAUAUUGUUAAUAAUUGGGCAUUUAACCAUAAAUUAUAAUGAUUAUGAAGUCAUAUAUAUAUAUAUAUAUAUAAGAAAAUUACCACAAUUAUUCAAUUUUUUUUGCAAAUUCAAAUUUUAUUAAUAAGAAAUAGGCAGUAAGCUUUUACAAACGGAAAAAAAAAAUCCUACAACAACUCUAGGACCUUUGAAAGAAAGAAAAAAAAAAGAAAAGAAAAGCUUAAGGACUCUACCUCAUAGAAGCUAAACAAUCCUACAAAUAAACUGCAAAAUAAAUCACAAUAACGCAAAAUUUUUGUCUUUCUUCCGUAUGAAAUGAAACUACGAAGUCAAGAAUUGACUCCUUUAACCGCUAUUGCCAGCGGGCUCCGUCAGCAAGAUACAACUUUGCAAUUUGAUUCAAUAGAAAUCCUCAAAUAGCUAUUUUGACAGGCAAAUUAAGCAUUAAUUUUGGUAUCCCUUCAUAAAAUACAAGAGUACUUUUGAUUAUAUCUAUAGAUCAACUUUCUAGGCUAUUUUGAUGUAUUAUAAGAAAAUCUGCCUCAACAAUUUUGAUAGCAUUUUUCCAAAAGCAGAAGAUGGAAAAUUGCCCAUUUGUACUGGGGAGUUCGUGAUCUUUUCCUCCUUCUAGUCUACUUACAAUUCUUGGAAAAAGGAAUACUCACAUCUCAAACAACUGCCUGUUCAUCUGCAAUGUCCUGCCGAAUUCUAGAAAGUUAGGUGGCAAUGCUAAUUACAUUUCAAAAUUGACUGCUGCGAUGACUAAUUCGAUGGCUUACUACAUGGUCAACGUUUGGAUCCCUUCCUGUCCUUUUUGGAUGCACAUUUUUUUUCUCUAGGCAAUAUAUAAUCUCCCAACUCAUUUCUUUACAAAUGCACCUUUAAUCACCACCAAAAGGUGUGGACAUGAUCUUUACCCUAGAAAACUAAUCACCGACAGGCAAAUUGACGUCAGAAAUACUAAGAGGAAUUCUAGUUUCCUUCGGGUUAAUGCCAUUUUGUACCCUUCAACUGUAACUCGAUUUCUAAACUAUAAUUUGUGACAUUAUAGUCCUUAAACUAUGAAACCCCUCUUACUUAAGUACAAUGGUUAAUACAAUACCCGUGACUAGACAAGCAACCAUAACAAAAAAAAAUCCAAAAUUAGAGAAAAGAAAGAAGUUUCGCGACCAAAGUAUGUAUCAAGGCAUAGUAUAGAAAUAAAAGUGUCCAAAUUAAGAGUUUAGGGAUAAAAGAGAUCAAGAUAUAGUUUAGGGAUUGAUUUGUCUCAAUUAGAGUUUUGAUGUCAACUAAGAAGAGAGAUAUAGUUGAAGGGUAGAAUAUAGAUAUAACAGUUCAAUGAUUGAUAUCAACGAGACAAUGACAACUUUGGAUUAUUACCAACCUCUUCUUGAUGGGAAAAGGAAAUAGAGAAGAAAGUCGGGCCUGGUCUAAGCCUGCUUCGGAGGCAAAACAACAUUAUGAAAUCACCGGCAUUCACACAAAUAUGUCAAAGUCACCGGCAUGCUAAGUUGCAUAAUUUAUACAAACACUGAAUAAUAUAUUGUUCUUAAAAUUUUUGUUUAAGAUUUAACAAUUAGAGCACGGUACACGAAUUAGCAAUAUUAAAUAAUGAAUGUUCACGAUUGAUAAAGUUAUCAAAGUACAGUUUGAGGACAACCCAUUCCAACGUGUACAAGAUGUUUAGCCUUUGAAAAGUUAAUUAGAGAAGGUGACGAGAUUUUACUAGGCUUAAAUCUUCUAGGCCUCGGAAGUAAAAAAUGAAGGCCUUUGAGUGCUAUAAAAAGGGGGCUAGAUGUUGCCUAGAAGCAUAUCAGCCUCAGACCACAUUUUGUAGCAAUGGGGAGCAAAGCAAAAGCAAUGGGGUCUAGGCUGACUCCUCUUCUUACCACCGUUUUAGUGGUAUUUGUUGCUCUUGGCUUGCCUUCAGAAACUGUGGCUGAUUACUACAAGUAUUCAUCUCCUCCUCCUCCUUACCAUUAUUCCUCACCACCACCUCCUGUGCAUUCACCUCCACCACCGCCAAUUUAUAAGUCACCCCCACCACCUUACCACUACUCCUCACCGCCACCUCCAGUGUAUUCAUCUCCACCACCACCUUCGCCAGUUUACAAGUCUCCGCCACCACCUUACCAUUAUUCGUCACCACCGCCUCCGGUGCAUUCACCUCCACCACCACCUGUUUACAAGUCACCUCCACCACCUUCGCCAGUUUACAAGUCUCCGCCACCACCUUACUAUUAUUCGUCACCACCGCCUCCGGUGCAUUCACCUCCACCACCACCGAUUUACGAGUCACCUCCACCACCUCCUCCAGUUUACAAGUCUCCGCCACCACCUUACCAUUAUUCCUCACCACCACCUCCAACGCAUUCACUCCCACCACCAGUUUACAAAUCACCGCCACCACCUCCUCCUAUGUAUAAGUCCCCUCCACCACCUUAUCAUUAUUCCUCACCACCACCUCCAGUGCAUUCACCCCCACUGCCACCAAUUUACAAGUCUCCGCCACCUCCAAUCUACAAGUAUAAGUCACCACCACCUCCUCCCCCAAUUUACAAGUCACCACCACCACCUCCUCCAGUAUAUAAGUCCCUACCCCCACCAGUGUAUAAGUACAAGUCUCCACCACCACCUCCUCCAGUAUACAAAUCACCUCCACCACCUCCUCCAGUUUACAAAUCUCUACCACCACCAAUUUAUAAAUACAAGUCUCCUCCACCACCUCCUCCGGUUUACAAUUCCCCACCACCACCAAUCUACAAGUCUCCACCUCCACCCUCCCAUUACUACUACAAUUCUCCUCCUCCUCCUCCUCAUCACUACUAAGCAAUUGUAUCCAAGUUUUUGAGGUAAUAAUGCUAAACCAAUAUAUUAACUUUCGCAUGAUAAACUUUAUCUCUAUCAAGACAAACUGCCAUGUGCAUCAAGCCAAAUACGUACACUUCGAUCCAUGAAAAUGACAAGUAGAAGGUUUUCUUAAGAACCAAGGAACAGCAUUAGUAUUCCCUCUGUUUCCAAAACUUGUGUAUUAAAUAGAUUAAUGAAUUGUUUAACAUGCUUAUCUACUUGAAAAUGCACAAUACCCAUAACCCACUGAAAUUUUUGCAGGUAAAGGGGAAGAGAAUCUGUGUUUGAGAGCUUCAUGAAGAUGUUGAAGAAUAAGAAUAAAAGCCCAAUGCGAGGAUGUUUUCAAGUUUUUCUAUGUUUCCACUUUAAUUUGUAAAUUGAAUUUUUCGACUUAAUUAAUUCCCUGUUUGUGGGGUACGUAUUGUUUUACGUACCAUGCCGUACAUGUUUGUAAGGAUUUCUAUCCUAUUGGCAAAAGUCGGUUCCAUACAAUUAAUCAAUUCAUUUCACUUCUAUUGGCUCUACUAUUUAUGCACGUUACGACAUUUUUUCUCUCUUUCCCUUAUAUUUUGUCUUUAAUAUUAUUGAGUCAAUAGUAAUACUGGGCCAUUUUUUUUAAAACUUAUACUAGUAUACAUAGGUAGUUUGGUCUAACGCCAAAUUCAUGUUUGUCUUUCUUUUAUUCCCUUUACAUUUCAAAGUAUACUAUAGUUUGUGAUCAUUGUGGUGAUGAUAUUACCAGCUGGUACUUAUAGUUUAAGGCAGAGACAUGAUAUUAACAACUAUCUCAUUGAAACAUAAGGAAAAAUCAUGACAAGUGUGAGUCUUGGUUAAUGCACAAUUUGUUAGUGGAAUUUAUAUUUAUAAAACUCAAAAAAAAAAUUUUGACAAUGCUAUUACUAAUUAAUUAAGGACUUUAUUGCUAUAAUUUAUCGCUUGCUAGUUUAAACUAUAAAUGAUCUCAAUACUUUUCUCCAUGAUGUCGAUUUCUUUAGAUACGAAAGGGAAAAAUUAGUGACAUAUCCCUUACUGAUUACAACAUCAGCAAAAAUUAGUUAUAAACUUUUCCGGUGGUUUUAAAUCCCCGGGCCCUAAGAUUUUUUGCUCAUCGAGUGAAUUAAGGAACAUAGGCAAUUCAUUUUGCAUACCAAGUCCUUGUUUAAGAUGCAAGUACUAAAAUGCAUCCACUUCAUUAAUUUGGGAAAUUGCCAUAGUUUUUUUAAGCAUUUUGAUUUUUUACAUGAUUUAAAAUUUUCUUAUUGGAUACAAUCACUUUGUAUCAAGAACACAUUUUCAAUCACCUUUUUUUAUCUUCUCAAUGAGAAAAUAAAAAUUUAUUCAUGCUUUUCUAACAUAUUCAAUCAUUGAUCUGAAAAUUAAAACAUUAAGAAAAGGACAUUUUCAAACAUUAAGAAGUAGUAUUUUAAAGACCAUGAUGAAAUUAAUACUUUCAAGGUCUCUAUUAGGAAGACUUCCUUUAUUAAUACUCUACUAGGCAGAGUUAUAUGCACGUUUACUGUUUUGGCCUUAAGUUGGGUGCAGAUGCUUAUAUUACAAAUAGAUGGUAUCAAAAAAUUGUUGUAUUCACGUCUGUUCUUUUUUUCUUCCUUAAGUUUUUUUCUUUAUUCUCGUGACUUCGCUAGUGAGGUAUAACUUCACAACUAGAGUCAAUAGAAAUCGUCAAAUGAUUUUUUGACAUCCAAAUUAAGCAAUAAAUUUUGUUUUCAUUUCAUAACAUAUAAUAGUACUACUUCAUGGGAGAUUUUAUAGUUUCUUUAGGGUAUCAUACCUACAAUUGAUAUUUAUCAUUGGAUAGUGAAAGAAGUGUUAAUGUCUCUAAGAUUAAAUAUUGUUAAAUAUUGAAAAUUUGAACUAUUUAUCUCUAUUGAGAGAUACAACUUAAAGAAUCCUACCCAAAAGAGACUAGAAUUUUCUCUGUUUUUCAUCAUCUGUAGACAUAAACUUUCCACGGUUGAUAGCAUUUUUCAUCAUCUAUAAGGAAAUUUUGCCUAUACAAUGUGAUAGCAUUUUUCAAAAAGACAAGAUGGAAAAUUGCCCCCCUUGAACGGAAAAUUGCCCCCUUGUCAAUUCUUUAAAAAAGAAUACCGUCCCGCAGAAUUCUAGAAAGUUAGGCAAAACUAGACAAGUUGACAGGUAUAAUCAGACCCAAGAUCAGGAACAAGCAGUUGCACAUUUCAAAAUUCGCUGCUGCAACAACUAAUUUGAUGACUUACAACACUAAAUGGUCAAACUUUGAAUGGCAAUGAAUCUUUUGUUGUACAUCAUGAUGUAAUUUUCAUGUUACAUAAUAGAUUGAUAUCUAUGUUCUUUAAAUUAUCAUAAUAAUUAAAUUUAACUGAAAAAAAGAACACAUAUCAAUACACAAAAGUGUGCAACGUGAAUGUUAUUUUAGUGUAUUGCAGAAGACCUAUAGUCUCUUCAUAUCUCUUCCUGCACGUAUCAAUUCGUUUCCUCUAGAUAAUAAUCUCCCAACUCAUUUAUUUACAAAUGCACCUUUUAUGUUUUAUUACCUCCAAAAGCCUAAAAAUCAAUUCACCGACUCGCAUUUGGUAUCAGAAAUUCUUAUUACGAAUUCUACUUUACUCAAAGAUUGACUGUUAAUAAUGAGACAACGACCAUUUUGUAUUAUUACACCGUCCUUCUUGAUAGGCAAAAGAAAUAGAGAGGAAAGCGGGUCCGUAUAUGGUCUUUUAUUCAUAGAUAAUACAACAUUACGCCAUCGAGCAUUCACACAAUAUUUCAAAGUCAUUGCAUGCCUAAGGCCUGCUUGAUAAUCUAAUUCCGUACUUAAAUUUAAUAAAUUCAAAUCUUAACACAUUCAAAUCGUUUGAUAACAAAAAAUUGAACAUCUAAAUUAAUUAAGUAACACUGAAUUUUCUAGGCAAAACUUGCUCCCAAAAUUAAGUGAUAAGUUAUUCACUUAUCACUGAAUAUGAUAUGUAUUCAAAUGUAUUAGAUUUAAUACUUAAUAAUUUAAUGAAUUCAAAUUUCAUAUUUCAUAUUUCAGUUUUAUCAAACACACCUUAAGUUGCAAAAUAAUACCAAAACUUGUUAUUACAUAGCUUGAGAUUCAAAAAUUUAGAGCAUAAUUCUCAACCAAACACAAUUGAAUAAUGAAUAUUCACGAGUGUCAAAUCUAUCAAAGUACAAUUUGAGGACAACCCAUUCAAACGCGUACACGAUUUUUAACUUUUCUAAAGUUGUUGAGAGCUGUUGAAAGAGAUUUACCAUGUUUACAUCUUCCAAGUCUUGGGAGUAAAAAAUGAAGCCACUGAGUGCUAUAAAAAGGGGGGUAGAGGCCACUUGAGAUCCUCGGUGACAUGUUUUCUAUGCCAAUCCAAUGCCACCAAUAGUGUUGCGCCAAGUGUCAUGUUAUUAUUUACACUUGUGUUAAACUAAGCCAAGUUGAAUUAUUAGAAAAUUAAAGUGUAAAUAAUAACAUGACACUUGGCGCAAUACUAUUGGUGACAUUGGGUUGGCAUAGAAAAUAUGUCACCGAGGAUCCCAAGUGGAUAGAUGCUGCCUAGAAGCAUAUCAGCCUAAAACAAGAAUUUGUAGUAACAAUGGGGAGCAAAGCAAAAGCAACGGGGUCUAGGCUGACUCCUCUUCUUACCACUGUUUUAGUGGUAUUUGUUGCCCUUGGCUUGCCCUUGGAAACUGCAGCUGAUUAUUACAAGUAUUCAUCUCCUCCUCCUCCUCCUUACCAGUAUUCCUCACCACCACCUCCAGUGUAUUCACCUCCACCAACCCCUGUUUAUAAGUUACCCCCACCAUCUCCUCUAGUUUACAAGUCCUCACCACCACCUUACCACUACUCACCACCUCCUGUGUAUUCACCUCCACCAUCACCAAUUUACAAGUCACUGCCACCACCCCCUCCAGUAUACAACUCCCCGCCUCCACCAGUGUACAAAUACAAGUCCCCACCACCACCUUCUCCAAUUUACAAAUCUCCACCGCCACCAGUUUACAAGUACAAGUCACCCCCACCACCUCCUCCGGUAUACAAGUCUCCUCCGCCACCUGUUUACGAGUACAAGUCUCCUCCACCACCUCCUCCAGUGUACAAGUCCCCACCACCUCCAGUUUACAAGUACAAGUCACCACCACCUCCUCCCCCGGUUUACCAAUCUCCUCCACCACCAGUUUACAAAUACAAGUCACCACCACCUCCUCCCCCAGUUUACCAGUCUCCACCUCCACCCUAUCAUCACUACUACGGUUCUCCUCCUCCUCACCACUACUAAGCAAGUGCAUCUAAGUUUUGAGGUAAUAAUACCGAUCCAAAACUUUAUCAACGCAAACUGCCAUGUAUAUCAUGCUAAGGACGUACACUUGAUCCAUGAAAAUGGCUAGUAGAAGAUUUUUUUUAAGAACCAGAGAAAUACAUUAUUUUUUCGCUCUGUUUUCAAGAAUUUGAGCAGUAUACAGAUUAAAGAGUGUUUUUUUUAAACUUGCUUAUCAACUUAGAAAUGCACAUAGCUGAAAGCCAACUGAAUAUUUGCAGGCAAAGGAGAAGGCAAUCGGUGUUUGAGACCUUCAUGAAGAUGUAGAAGAAUAAGAAUAAAAGCCCAAUGCGAGGAUGAUUUCAAGUUUCUACGUUACCAUUUCUACAUCUAAAUUGACUUUAGCUCCUGAGUUCCAUGUCUAUGGGGUUUGUACUGUUUUACGUACCAUGCAGUACAUGCUUGUAAGGUUUUCUGUCCUGUUGGCAAGCCGCAGGUCCAUAUAAUAAAUGAAUACUAUUUAUAUUACGACACUUUUCUCUCUUUCUCUUAUAUUUUGUCUUUAAUAUUGUUGAUCAUUUUUUUUUUUUAUCAAAAGUAUCAAAUGCUUAGGCAAUUUGGUCUAAUGCUAAUUGUUUUACAUUUAUUUUUCACCUACAUCCCUUUUCAACUCAAAGGAUGCUACAGUUUGUGAUCAUUGUUUAAGACCGAAGCAUGGUACUAAUAAAUAUCUCAUUGAAAGUCAAGGAAACUAACAUUAUGAAAAGUGUAAAUCUUGAUUUGUGAAACUAUUUAUUCGUGGAAUUUAGAGAUACAAAACUCAAAUUGUGACGGUGUUGUUGCUAAAUUAUUUUUUUUUUAUAAUAAAACACAGUUCAUUCAAGGAUUACUGGAAAUCGUCCAGCACAAUUGAGAUACAUUGUUGCCCAGGUGGCAGAUAAAUAUGCACUAAAAUUAUAGAUAUGCAAUUUAACAAAUACAUAAGAUUUGAGAAAUUAAGGACAAAUCUAAAAAGGACCAUAAAUUUGAAAAACAUUUCAUCCUAGAAUAAGUCGCUGCAACUCUCUUUGUGCAUGCUGUAAUCGUCAGAUCUACUAAUCAACAGUUGUAAGGUCCAGUAAAGAUGGUGAGAUCUGCCGAGAUUGAUCCAAAUCUGAAAUAUUCCCUCAGAUCUGCUAUCCAAUUGGUUCAAACUCAAUACUGAAAGUGAAAUCUGAUGAGAAGACUGAAAAAAUUGUAGAUCUAACAUAUAGAUCUAAAAAAACUCCAAGAUUUGAAAAAGUAAAGAAACAAAACUAAAUAAAACUCUCAUUAAGAUAGUUUAGGAGAGACUAAAACUCUCAAUAGGACACCCUAGGAGAGAAGAAAACUCUCACUAGGAUAACCUAUGAGAGACUUUAUUGAAUGAAAGGAAAAGCAAAGGACAAAGGAAGAAGAAGGGAGACCUUGGCUUAAGGCCAAGGUCUCCCUCCUAUGGAGGAGGAAGGGUAGAGGAGGAAGCCUAGAGAGAAGGAAGAGAAUCCCUCCGCUAGAGGGAAGGAAGAGCCUCUGAGAGGGUACCCGUGUUGUUGCUAAAUUAUUAAGGACAUUAUCACCAUUACUUUUCCCUUACUAGUUUCAACUGCAAUGAUCUCAAUCUUUUUGUGACUAAUUCUUUUCUUAAUAAUUUAUAAAUACAAAACUCACAAAGAAUAUGUGACUUAUUCUUUCCUUUCGUCUUCUAAAGAAAAUGCCAACUGUUAGUUUAUCAAGGGAAAAAGGAUCGACAUCAGUUGUUAUUGAAACUAGUAAGGAAUAAAUAAUGGUGAUAAUGUCCUUAAUAAUUUAACAACAGCACCAUCAGAAUUUGAGCUUUGUAUCUAUAAAUUCCACGAAUAAAUAGUUUCAUCAAAUCAAGAUUUACACUUUUCAUAAUGUUAAGUUUCCUUGACUUUCAAUGAGAUAUUUAUUAGUAUCAUGCUUCGGUCGUAAACAACGAUCACAAACGAUAGCAUCCUUUGAGUUGAAAAGGGUAGUGAAAAAGAGAAGUAAAAAAUACAAUUAGCAUUCCCUCAAAUUGUAGAAAGUUAGGUAGCAUUAUAGACAAGUUGAUAGCCGUAAUUAUACUAAAAAUCAGGCAAAAGCCAGCAAUUUUACAUUUCAAAAUUCACCUAUUCAAUAACUAAUUCGAUGGCUUGCUACAUGGUCAAAAUUCACCACAUAUCCCUUUCCUCAAUCAGGGGCUUCUACAAUUACCAGUUCCAAUUGUAUGGUAUAGUGUAAAUAUCAACAAAUUAGAUGUAGACACUAAUAUAAUAAAUAUGGAUGCUAAGGCAACAACAUACAAAAACAUAAUAAAUUUUGGCAUUCCUUAAAAAAUUACGUCCCCAAAUCAAUCUCAUACACCCAAUUUCUAAUUUAUUUAACUCAUUCCGUCUAUUAACUGCACCAUACAAUCCAACCUGCAAUUGCAUGAACCCCAAUCUCGCUUCCUAGUCCACCAUUUUUCUCUAGGUAAUAAUCUCCCUUCUAAUUUCUUCACAAAAUGCACCUUUCAUCACCUCCAAUAGCGUCGACAUGAUCUUUACCCUAGAAGACUAUUCACCGACUCCCAAUUGACGUCAGAAAAUCUAAGAGUAAUUCUACUUUACCCUAAGAUUGAUAUCAACUAGACAAUGACAAUUUAGAAUUAUUACACGCCUCUUCUUAAUAGGAAAAAGAAAUAGAGAAGAAAGUCAGGCCAGGUCUAAUUUCUUUUCGAAGGCAAUACAACAUUACGAAAUCAAGCAUUCAUUCAUACAAAUAUUUCAUAGUCACCGGUUUGCUGAGUAGAAAAGUUUAUACAAAAACUUAAUAUUAUAUUGUUUAAGAGUUAACAAUUUAGAGCUUAAUCUCCUUGUACUUUGGACUAAACUCGAACGUGAAAGGAAAUCCCAAAACCAUAUUGGGCAUGAAUUCACACUUAAAUAGACCCAAAAAAAGAUGGCGACUGGUGAAAGGCAGUGGAGACUGGUGGUGAGAUUUGAGGAAUAGAAGCAGACGGAAAAGCCACAAAUUUUUGCCGAAAGAGGGUCACUUUCAUGGUUAAUUUUGCUACUCUCUACUUGUACUUGACCAAUGACAGGUUGUCAGUCUGUGCAAUAAUAAAAACCUGUUCAAACUAAAAGUAAUUUCUGUAGAUAGUGGUAAGCAGGGUCGAAUCCACAGGGAUUAGGUGUAACUGUUUCUUUUCAAAUUCACAAUAACAAAGGGGGUGUUUUUAUGCAGAAUGUGACAAUCAAAGAAAUUCAAUUAAAAGUAAAAUAAUAAAAAUAAAAUAGCCAACUAGAAAUUAAAUAACAAUUUACUAAAAUCAAAUGAGUGAUAAUUAAGGAUCUAGCCAAGGAAUAACUUCAGCAGUGGUUCACCUAAUUGAUCAUUGGAACAAAGGCAAUUCCAAUUAUUUACUAAUAAAUAGGUUAUAACUGCCAAACAAGCGAUGACAGUCAAUCACUCCUUACUGUGUCGGUGAUUAAGGUACGCCCGUUAAUCACUGCCCUAAUUGAGAAAUAAUCUUAGGUACGCCCGUAAGAUUUAAUUUUCCAAUUGCCUUACAUAUUAGAGGAGUGUCAGGAACAAGGAAAUAGAAUGGGACGUCGUUUAAUGCAAAGGGUUGUGCGUUUAAGGCCUUAGAAGCAAUACUACGUCGUUCUAAUAACAUAGGCGGUGCUGGUGUGAUAGGCCAAGUUAGUUGAGGGUCAAUUACAUAAAUAGCCUUCUGUAACAGAUUUUUGGUUAUGUUUUUGAAUGAAAAGUAUCUCGCUGCUUUCUCUCUCUUGUCUGUUAUUUCCCUCCCUUUUCUUCUUUCUCUCUUCCCUCUUCUUAAUCUUGUUUCUUUCUUCUGAUUCUUCCCCCAAAUUCAAUACAAUUCCAGAAAUUAACCUGCAAGUCUGACAUUUGGUAUCAGAGCGGUCGAUUCUUGGCCGCGAAGGUAUCAGAAAUGGCUGAGAGCACGCGAUUCAGGACACUGGAGGAGCAACUCAAGAAGCAGGAGAAUCGGUUGCAAGAACUGGCGGAAUCCAUGGCUGCACUGCAGAGUACGAGUUCCGAGGAGUUGCGGCAUAAGCUACAGGCGGAAAUGGAGCAGAACAAUGCAAAAUUGGACGCGGUGGUGGGAAGUCUGGACCAGAAGUUCAAUAAAAUGGAACAGAGACUCAGUACAGUGUUGAAGCUGCUGAUGAAGGAGAAAGGUCUCCCUGAUGUCGAAGGAGGAAUUUCUGAUCCAAUCUUGCCGACUCCUCCAUCUCAUCUGAGGUUAGCAUCCUCAGUCGAAGGGAUUGGGCACCAACAAGAGUACAGAGGUAGGCAAUUCACUCCUAAUGUACCUCGAUUAGAACUGCCAAUGUUUAACUCUGGAAACCCUAGGGAAUGGACCAGGAAAUGCCAGAAAUAUUUUUUGAACUAUCAGAUAGCAGAGAGUCAAAAGGUAGAGGUAGCAGAGAUGUUUUUGGAAGGUAGAGCUGACAAUUGGUUUCAAGGAGUGAAAUUGGUGAGGCCAGGGUUGUCUUGGGGGGAAUUUAGUGAACUUUUGUGUGAAAGAUUUUCUGGAAGUAGUUCUCGUGACAUUGUGGAGGAAUUUAACAAGUUACAGCAGAAAGGAACUGUUGAGGAAUAUGAGGAGAAAUUUGAAGAACUAAAAGCUCUAAUGCUGAUGAAAACCCCCAGGUUGGAUGAACUUUACUUUGUUUCCAGUUUUAUUAGUGGCCUCAGGGAAGAAAUUAGACCUAUGGUGAAGAUGUUUAAGCCUCAAACACUGAUGAAGGCCUUUGAAGUUGCGGAGUUGCAGGAGUGUUCCCUGGAAAUCCAAUCGAAACAAAACAGAACUUCAAGGAGGACAGCAAUGGAACCCAAGUUUGGAAUGUAUAAGGGCACUACGAGUGAUUAGGGUCGCCAAAAUUCAUAUAAGUUGCCUGGAGUCACUCCUGUCUCCAGGAGGACUAAUGCAGUACACAAGGAAUUUAGUAAGAUAUCAGCGGAGGAAAUGCAGUAUAAGCGUAAGCACAGCCUGUGCUAUAGGUGUGGAGAGAAGUUUGGAAUAGGUCAUCAGUGUAAGAAAGGAAGUCUGAACUGUGUGAGCACUGAGGAAGAGGAGGACACUGAAUUUGAGGAUGCGGAAGGGGAACAGGAUGAGUUAACAGGAAGGGUCGGGGAACUUGCAGAAGUCUCUUUGAAUGCUUUAUCUGGUGCCAUAAGGAGGAAAUCCAUCCUGUUGAUAGGGAACUUAGGGGGGCUUCCAGUCAAAAUUUUGGUGGACACAGGCAGUUCUAACAGCUUCAUUCACCACAGGAUUGUCAACCUACUGCAUCUACCAUAUCAGGCAGUCAGUCCAUUUACUGUGACUCUAGCAGAUGGAACUGACAUUACCAGUGGAGCCAUCAGUCCCAGCGUGUCUUGGUUAAUUCAGGACUAUCAAUUCCAAUUUGACUUAAAAGUAAUGGAAUUAGGGGGAUGGGAUAUAAUUCUGGGGGUGGACUGGAUGUGCCAGUAUAGUCCCAUUACAUUUGAUUUCCACUCUCUUAGCAUUGCCCUUAGUGAUAGGGGUUCUUUACUACACCUCCAAGGACUUGUGAAGCAACCUACUAUGGAACUGGUGAGGGGCAGGGAUCUCAGCUCGUUUAUACAGGAGAAGCAAAGAAACUGUGCAGCCAUGCAUGCUGAUAGGGCCAGGGAAACAGGAGAGCAGCUUCCAAAAGCUAUAGAAAGGAUCCUGGAACAGCACUCUCAGGUUUUCUCCACCCCAACAGGAUUACCCCCAGAGAGGGAAUUGGACCAUCAGAUCAACCUCAAACCAGGAGCUGAACCCUUCAAGCUCAAACCUUACAGGUACCCCCACUCACAUAAAGCAGAAAUUGAAAAAAAAGUUGCUGAGAUGCUCACUAAUGGAAUUGUUAUACAUAGCACAAGCCCCUAUGCCUCCCCUGUAUUGUUAGUAAAGAAAAAGGAUAACUCCUGGAGAUUAUGCAUAGAUUACAGGAAGCUGAACGAGCUGACUAUAAAGGAUAAGUUCCCUAUUCCCAACAUAGAUGAACUAUUGGAUGAAUUACAUGGAACCAGAUACAUGUCCAAACUGGAUCUCAGAGCUGGUUACCAUCAGUUGAGGGUGAAAGCUGUUGAUACCCCUAAGACUGCCUUCCAGACACACCAUGGCCACUUUGAAUUCUUAGUGAUGCCUUUUGGACUCACAAACGCGCCAGCUACAUUUCAGUCCUUGAUGAACAGAAUAUUUCAGCCAUAUCUCAGAAAGUUUGUCCUAGUCUUCUUUGACUACAUAUUAGUGUACAGCCCCACACUAGAGAUGCAUGCACAGCAUCUACAGAUUGUGCUCAAUAUUUUAGAAGAAAAUCAGCUGUAUUACAAGAGGUCAAAGUGCUCUUUUGCCCAGUCCUCAAUUGAAUACUUGGGGCACGUGAUCUCAGAGGCAGGAGUGAGUAUGGAUGUGGCUAAGGUGGAGUGUAUCAAGUCCUGGUCUGUUCCUAGUACAGUCAAGGAGCUGAGAGGGUUUUUGGGAUUAAUUGGUUACUACAGGAGAUUCAUUAAAGGCUAUGGAGUGAUUAGCAAACCCUUGACUGUAUUGUUGAAAAAGGAAGGUUUUGCAUGGAACCAUGAAGCUCAAAUGGCCUUUGAAGAUUUGAAAAAGGUUAUGACCACAGCCCCAGUGCUGAGCAUGCCUAAUUUCGAACUUCCUUUUGUCAUAGAGACUGAUGCCUGUGGAAUAGGUAUUGGAGCAGUGUUGAUGCAGCAAGGACAUCCUAUUGCUUUCCUUAGCAAGGCAUUAUCAGUUCAGAAUUUGGGGUUAUCAGUCUAUGAAAAAGAGCUUUUUGCCUUAGUGCUAGCUGUAACUAAGUGGAGGCAUUACCUGGUGGGUCAUCACUUCAUUAUCAGGACAGAUCACCAAGCUCUCAAACAUUUGAUAGAGCAAAGGCUUACUCAUCCACUCCAGCACAAGUGGCUAACUAAGCUACUUGGUUUGGACUAUGAAAUACAGUAUAAAAAGGGUGCAGACAAUGGGGUGGCAGACGCCCUCUCCAGGAGAAGGAUUGAGGGAAACACUGUUGACUGUGGAGAGACUGGGCAUCAGACCUGCGCCAUAACCUCAGCUCAGCCUAGUUGGAUGCAGGAAAUGCUAGAAAGCUACAUUGGAGAUGCAGAGGCUCAACAGAAGUUAUCUGAGCUAUUGCUGGAUCCCAAUGCAGAUCCAGAUUAUCAGUUAAAGAAUGGGAUGCUCAAGUUUAAAGGGCGGCUGUACAUAGGAUCUGCUAACAACAUUAGGACCAAGGUGGUCAGAGCAUUGCAUGACUCAGCCCUUGGGGGGCACUCAGGUCCUGGAAUCCGUAAGGAUGUCCUUCAAUAUGUGAGAUCUUGUGAUGUGUGUCAAAGGAACAAACAUGAAAAUGUUCCUUAUCCUGGGUUGCUGCAACCAAUUCCUGUACCUCAGCAGGCUUGGUCACACCUCACCAUGGAUUUUAUUGAGCAACUACCCCCAUCCCAUGGAUUUGAUACCAUUUUGGUGGUGGUGGAUAGGUUAACCAAGUUCAGCCACUUCAUUCGACUCACUCACCCUUUUUCUGCACAGCAGGUAGCACAGCUUUUCCUUGACAACAUAUACAAGCUGCAUGGACUUCCUGAGACCAUUAUAACUGACAGGGACAUAAUCUUUCUUAGUAAGUUUUGGCAAGAGUUAUUUGGUAUGGUAGGGGUAAAGCUGCACUACAGUUCAUCGUAUCACCCUCAAUCAGAUGGUCAAAGUGAAAGGGUCAAUCAGUGUUUGGAAAACUAUCUCAGGUGUAUGUGCAGUGAGCAUCCUUCUCACUGGAGCAGUUGGCUUCCUACAGCUGAGUUAUGGUACAACACUAACUUCCAUACUAGCUUGCAGGUGACACCAUUCGAAGCACUAUACGGGUAUAAACCAAAUCACCUUCCCUUAGGACCUUUUCAUGAUAGCCUGGUACCUGCUGCUGGUAACAUGGUGCAGACUAGGCUCCAAAUUCUAUCCCUCAUCAAAGAGAAUCUAGCCACCGCCCAGAAUCGAAUGAAAAUGUUUACUGAUAAGCACAGGACUGAACGUGUCUUCCAAGUGGGGGAUUGGGUAUUUCUCAAGCUGCAACCUUACAGGCAACAAUCAGUGGCCUUACGGAAGAAUUUGAAGUUGGCUGCCAAAUACUUUGGACCUUUCCAGAUCCUUGCGAGAGUAGGGGAAGUCGCCUACAGACUUAAGUUGCCAGAGGGAGCUCGAGUUCAUUCCGUGUUCCAUGUGUCCUUACUUAAAAGGAAAGUGGGAGUUACACAGCAGGUAAAGCCCAGCUUGCCAGAAGUAGACGCAUCAGACCAAUGUUUGCUGAAGCCAGAGAAGAUUCUCCAGAGGCGUGUUAUCAUACGAGCUGCCAAACCAAUCAUCCAGUACCUGGUGAAGUGGAACAACUUACCAGAAUCCGAAGCAUCAUGGGAGGAUAAAAGCUUCAUUGACAGACAAUUUCCGGAAUUUCAAGCUUGAGGACAAGCUUUGCUUAAGGGGAAGAGAUUGUCAGGAACAAGGAAAUAGAAUGGGACGUCGUUUAAUGCAAAGGGUUGUGCGUUUAAGGCCUUAGAAGCAAUACUACGUCAUUCUAAUAACAUAGGCGGUGCUGGUGUGAUAGGCCAAGUUAGUUGAGGGUCAAUUACAUAAAUAGCCUUCUGUAACAGAUUUUUGGUUAUGUUUUUGAAUGAAAAGUAUCUCGCUGCUUUCUCUCUCUUGUCUGUUAUUUCCCUCCCUUUUCUUCUUUCUCUCUUCCCUCUUCUUAAUCUUGUUUCUUUCUUCUGAUUCUUCCCCCAAAUUCAAUACAAUUCCAGAAAUUAACCUGCAGAUCUGACAAGGAGCCCUAUUCUAACCAAAUAACACACUACCAGGGUUAUUUUAGGUUAGCCCGCGUAUUCCCCUGACAUGAAUCCAAUCAUGCCAGUUAUCACUAUUUUGAAACAAUUAAACAAUUACGGAUUUAACGUCCCAAUUGACAAUAGAUUAUCAAAUUAACUAAUUAUCCGGAUCCAAAACAAUCAAUUAAUUAAAUAAUCAUAAGCACUGUAAUCAGGGAAUAUUUGAAUACCAAUAAAUAAAAAGAAAGGACAAAAUUAAAUCGAUUUCACAAUUUUUAAACGAACCACAACCUCAGUUGUUCCUCGGCUAGAUUGAGAAAAUUAGCUCAUGUUCGAUGCGAAAAAUCCACAAGAAAUUGUUAAGAGAGCCGCGGCCAUUGUCCCUUGAAAUUGGGGAAAUUCAAUUCGGUUGAACUACGAAAGAAAAGUAAGCUACAGAGAGUUGCCGAUUGGGUUUUGCUUGUCCCUAACAUGCGAGGGAGCAAAGCCACGAAAGGACGACAAAGGUCAAAAAGAAAGGCUACAGAGCAUGUUCCAGGUCUUUUUGUGCUCUCCACAUCCGAGCCAACGAAAAGAAAUAAAAAACUACCAGGAGCUAAAGGAAAACCGCAAGAAAAGUCAAAGGCUAAAAAAACUUCCUAGUGCUUGUUCUCUGCUUAUCUCUUUAUCUAAUUCUAAGUCCCCGAUUUUUUGCUCCGUGCGGCGGCUCCCCCGGAGAGAAAGGAUUGCAUCCGCUGCCCUCUUCCACCAAUUACCAAAAUGGGCACACCGCUUCUUUUUCAAAAAUGCUCCUGGAUAAACUCUAUCAUCUGGACUUUUUUUCUGUCAAAUUGACAUUUAUUAUUAUAUUUUCGUUCUACUCCCUGAAAUAAAUGUAAAAUAUUAAAAAUGAGUAGAAUCCGACAAUUAAUUCACAUCAGGUCAGAUAAUAAAGAAAAUUAAUAAUAAAAUAAAUAAAUAAAUUGCAACCUAUCAACCAAAUACAACAAUUUCAUGGAGUUUGAUACACAAGCCCAAAUACACGAGAGUGUGUAACCUGAAUUGUUACUUAUACAUUAGUGUGUAAUAGAACGGCAAGCAUUAUGGUGGUCAUUGAGCAACUUGUAGGAGAAAUAGUCCUAUAAGCUGUUCAAUGACCAAUCACAACUUGCUAAUUGGAUGACUAAUAUAGCUCUAGCUGUAAUGUUUUAAUUAAAUUCCAUCACUAACGUUGGGAUGACUUUUUAAUCAAAAAAAAAAAAGCCUUAGUUCAAGCUUUUCCCCUUAUUGUGCAUUUUUUAAAACAUUUGAUAGGCACUGCAAAUCUGUCAUUUUGGACAUUUUAUUAUUAACUAACAAUGAAAGCCGUGGACAUCAACCCAUAUCCAACAAAAUAUUAAAUUAAUAUUAGAAAAAAUUAUUAAGUAAUUGGAAAAAAAAAGAAGAGGCUAAUUUUCAUUGAAACCCACCGACAAACUAUACGCUGCUUUCAAUCAGUUUUAACACGGGAAAAAGAAAAGGCAUGAAAAGCAAAAUUUGUGGGGAUAAUUUCGGAAACCUCCCAUGAAGUUUUUGACUAUUUUACUGGCCUCCCUUCAGAUUUUAAAAAUUGGACUAAUCUUCCUUAAAGUUAAUUAUCUUGUAACAUUUAGAUCCGAUCAAUAAUUUAAAAAAUAAUAUUAUGAGAGAGAAAAUAAUAUGAUUUUAUUAUUGCCCCCAUCUCACCACAUUAUUUAAUUAAUUUAAUAGCAACCCACACAUUAAAGAAAAUGACAGGUCGUCAACCUGUGCAAUAAUAAAAUUAAACCUAAUUGCCAGUUAAAAUGACCAAAACCCAAUUCCAAGUACUGGAGCAGGGACUCUAGGUGUGCAAUGGGUUACUUGAUUCACCCUGUUCCCGAAGAGUUUGCUUGAUCCGAUAUACCCGAAUGGAAUGGUUAUUCCUUUUCACAAAUGAUUAGGAAUUUGUAGACAGGGCAAGUAGGGUCGUAUCCACAGAGACUGGGUAUAUUUGUUUCUUAAGAAAUCCAAAGUAACACAGGGGGUGAUUUUGUAGGAACGACGAUAAUUAAAUAAAUUCAAAUGAGAAAGUAAAAAUAAAUAAUUAACUAGAAAUUAAACCACAAUUUACUGAACUCAGGAUAACAAUAGUUAAAGGCCUCAAUUAAUUAAAAUAAGGAAACAAUCAAAAAUAAAAUAAAGUAGGUAAUUAAAAGUCAAAUGGCAAUCCACUACAAUCAAGGAAAUAUUAACUAAAGAUCUAGCCAAGAAAUAACUUCAGCAAUGGUUCACCUAAUCGAUCAUUGAUGCAAAGCAAUCCCAAUUAUUUACUAAUAAAUAGGUUAUAACUACCAAACAAGCGAUGGCAGUCAACCCCUCCUUACUGUGUCGGUGAUCAAGGUACGCCCGUUAAUCACUGCUCUAAUUGAGAAAUAAUCCUAGGUACGCCCGUAGAAUUUAAUUCCCCAACUGCCUUACGUAUUAGAGGAGCCCUAUUCUACCCAAAUAACACACUACCAGGGUUAUUUUAGAUUAGCCCGCGUAUCCCCCUGACACGAAUCUAAUCGUGCCAGUUGUCACUAAUUUGAGGUAAUUAAACAAUUACGGAUUCAAUACCCCAAUUGACAAUAGAUUAUCAAACCAAUGAAUUAUCCGGAUCCAAGACAAUCAACUAAUUAAAUAAUCAUAAGCACUGCAACCAAGGAAUAUGCGAAUACCAAUAAAUAAAGGAAAAGAUAAAAUUAAAUCGAUCUCACAAUUUACAGGUGACCCAAAGCAUCAGUCGUUUCUUGACUAGAACGAGGGGGUUAGCUCAUAUUGGAUGAACUAAGCCCGCGGGAAAUUCCAGCAAAAGUCACGGCCGUUGUAUGCAUUUCAAGAGCCGCAAUUCGUCAAACACUUGGAAAGCGAAUGUAAGGCACGGGUAACAAUUGAAACUUUCUAAUUGUUCCUAGCAUUCGUAAAGCAAAUUCACUCCAGAAGUACAGUGAGGAAAAGUCAAAGAAAGUGGGCUUCAAUUCCUUGCUCCUGACAUGCGUGGAGACAAGCCAAUGCAAGACUACAAUAAACUAACAAGGAAAAGUCAAGAAUUGGAGCUAAGCUCCCCUGCCAUGCGCAGGAAUCCCAAAAGUAAAAAGUAAAGCUUCAAAGAAAAGUCAACAAUUCUUCCUAAGCUACAGACGGAAGAUCCAGCACAAAAGCCAGCUCCCUUUUUGAUCCCUUUUUCCCCCUUCUUAUUGCGGCGGCUCACCAGGAGAGGAGAGCCCUCCGUCCGUCCUUUCUUCCGGAAAUUACCAAAAUGGGCAUGACAUCUUCUCUUCCAAAAGUGCCCCUGGGACAAGCUUUCUCAUCUGAAUUCUUUUUUUUUCCAAUUUGGCACCUGUUAUCAUAUUUAUAUUCUACUCCCUGAAAUAAACGUCAAAUACUAAAAGUGAGUAGAAUCCAGCAAAUAAAUCCACAUCAAGUCAGGUAAUAGGAGGAAUUAAUAAUAAAAUAAAUGAAUAAAUUGCACCCUAUCAAUUCCCUCCACACCUAAACCAUGCUUGUCCUCAAGCAUAAGAAAAGUAAACGAACACCAAAAUUCGACGAUAGCCAUUGCCCAAUCUCCUAUAUUGCCAAGACAUUCAAGAGAAAAACACAUAUCGAGCAUUGGUGAUUAGAAUCCCAGAAGCAUCCCCCCGGUUAGCCUCUAACCCCCAGAUUCCUUCAAUUUCCAACUUAACUACUCUAAGAAAGAGGAAUGGCACACAACAUUUAUCAGCUAGUGGUCCGAAUAUUCACACAAGUCUUCAUAUCCAAUCCAUAAACCGGCAAGCUUCCCUAUUAUUUAGUCUCUCUUUUUUUCCGUUUUUUUUCAUUUUCAUUCUUCCCCUCUUUUUUUUUUUUUUUUAAAGCAGUAGCAAUCAACACAAAAGACUUAGUCGUUAGCCGUCAGGGCCUUUUGAUGCGAACUCCAACAUUUUUAGAAGGAGGAGCCCGGUUACUCAGCUCCUACCGCUAUACGACCACGCACUCAUAUAAAAUACCACCUUUUGACGCGAGAAUCGACACUUUUAGGUGCCGAUCCCCGGUUACUCAGUAGUAACUUAAUAGCGGAGCACAGUCAAGCUUAUUCUCAGCCAAACAAUGCACAAACGCAAAAUAACAGCACUAACAAUCAAACAUAGGAGCAGCUCGCCUCAUUAUUGUCAAACAUGGAGAACUGGAGUCAAUAUUGGACCAGUUCACAUUAAAAGGCCAUAUUCAUUCCCUACGCCUAGAAAAGUUAACAAAGAAAUCGAAAGAGUCAAACAGUUAAAUAUUCACCAAGGGGAUAUUCAGGACCCAACCACACUAACCCGAUACAUUUUGUAUUUUAAAAACUUGGCAAAAGUAGAUUUGGAGUCAAUGAGUCCACAUCUCAAUUUUAGCCUUCACAUGAAAGGCAAUCACCAAGAAGAAAGAACGGAAAAAUAAGCAACUAGAAAUGAGACUACGAAAAACUACUAAAACUAAAAACUCACUUUUUUUCUUUUUCUCUUUUUUUUUCUUUUUGAAUUUUUUUUUCAUUUUUAUUUUUUUUUAUUUUUUUUAUUUUUUAAACAUUAACUAUAAACAUUAACUACUAAAAACUAAAAACUAAAACUACUAAAAACUAAAAACACUAAAAACUGCUAAAAUGAAAAGCUGAAAACUGAAAACUACUAAAAACGGAGCACACUAGCAUAACUUUAGAUCCCCCCCACACCUAUAGGACACAUUGUCCUCAAUGUGACAAAUAAGAACCAAAAGUGAAGCACAAGUGAGAGGGGAAUCAGCCAAACUUCCCUGAAAUCGGGUCACAGCGGAGGGCGAGGUGGAAAUGGAGGUGCAAAGCCUGUAUGCAUCAGGAACUGUGCCAAAUUCUGUGCUAUGCCGGCGACAUUGGCGUCGACGUUGGUCAUCCGGGCCUGCAAAUCCUGAACCAGCUCCCUGAGAUGCUGCCAAUCAUCGGUCCCAGGUGGUGGAGGUGGCGCAGAAGUAGAGGUAGACGGCCCAGCAGUGUCCGCGGCCGACCCAGGGAAUGAAGAUGGCCCUGCCCGGGCCGAAUGGUGUGCACCCGGGGCUCGAGGUGGUCCCGGACGGGUAAACUGGUGAAAACCAUCUGGCAGACGCUCGACGACCCCCAUUUUCUCUAAGCAAACUACGUCCAAGUGCUCCAUCUCAAAUGCCAAAUGGAGGUCGUGGUCAUCCAGGUUAAGAACUCCCAACUGGGUCGCCAAGUGAGUGAUGUAGGACCCAAGGAUCAGUGGUUUGUUCUUCUUGGUCAAGACCGUCUUGAACUGUGCGGCCAACCAACAUCCCAAGUUCACCUUGAUAUUGUUCUUCAUACUCCAGAGAAAGAAGAAUUCGGGCCGAGAGAGUAUACCGGAGCUGUCCUUGCGCCCCGAGUAGCUAUAAGCUAAGAAUCGCUGAACAUAGCGGGCGCUAGGGUCCUUAAGAAAGGAGCUCCUGGACCGGGAAGGAUCGUAGCGUUGCCUAUCGACGGACAUGUCCUCCCAUACAUCAUGGUAGUGGGAGAGGAAAGGCUCUACGUAGUCACAGGCACUCUCCGCAUACUCCCUAGUCUCAGCAUACUCUCUAGUGAUAAACCCAAAUGCCAGAUUGAAUUGAGUAAUGGAGAAAUUGAAUUCUCGACCCAUGAGCCGGAAAUGAAUGACAUUCGGUGUUUCACCCGUGUAUCUCGUAGGUAAUUCGAACUCAAAGGUGGAGUAAAACUCCCGGAUCAGCUCAACAAAAGCGGGACAAGAAAUAUGGAAAUAUGGGCGCCACCCAAUGGCUGUGAACAUUUGCUCAACCUCCUCCCGUAUACCCAGGGCAGUUAGAGAGAGUCUAUGACAAGACUUACAGGAUAUUAUACGCCUCUCGCAGACCUUAGCGUACCUCUGCCGAUCGGCGGGUCUGGUAAAUGUUAAGUGCCCCCCAAAAUGAACAGGUGCAUCUACCUGAGCACCCCUAUCCCUACCCAAACGGGUUCGAACACUAGAAGAGGAGGGUAGGUUGGUAGGUGAGUUGACAGGAAUAGAGGCUUGUGGAGGGGGUUGAGACUGAGAGGUCCUAGACCUAGAGGAGGAUUUCGGUCUCACCAUUCCCCCCAAAGUAAGUUCAAGGCAACAGAAAAUCCGACAAGUAUAGAAACCAGCAAUUGACAAAGCAAAAAUCUCCCAGUAGUAACCCAGCCAAUAGCAAACAAAAGAGUUCCAGCAAGUAAUCAACAAGCAAUUCAGAAAUAUCUCAACUAAAAUCUCAAGAGAAACCCCAGCGAGUUAUCCAGCAAUUCAAGCAAUAUCCCCAAGCAAUGUGGUGGUCAAAAUGUCAUCUCCAAAUUGAACAAAUAAUCAGAGCAUUGCAACACAUUGAAAAUCUCAAUAAACGGCUCCAGUUGGCCAAGAAAAAUUGCUAACUCAUACUCAGCAAUAGUAGUGCAGCAAAGGGACAGUAACCACGCAAUAAAAACACUUAGCUUGCACUCAAAUGGUCACCCCAAAUAACAACCCAGUAUGAAACCCGCAGGCAGAGUAUUCCUCAAACCGUUAGCCUAAACCCAGUCAACAACCACGGCCAGAAAUAACCCCAUAAAUAGUGCAAUGAGUAAUCCCCAGCAACAUAAUCAGGUGUAAUCAACUGGAGCAAGCAAUUUACAUGGCAUAGAAACCUCCCAAUCAAACAAGUGCAUUAUUCUAGCGCACCCCAAAAUUCCAAGAAAUGGCUCCAGUUGGCCAAUUAAUUUCACAAUGUCACCCAACUCAGGAGAAAUAGCAAUUCCACACAAAAAUAGUCAAACCAGUACCACUGGCGAAAAAUCUUUCAAAUAUGCACAAUUUGCUACCAAAUAUCACCGGCUAACACUGAAAAAUUGAGGGCAAGUGUCAAAUACCUCCACAGGGACUACCCCAGGCGGCAGACAGAGAAGCGGCGUUGAAGCUGGUGGUCGAGCGGGGCGGCGCUCGCGUCGGCGUGCGCAGCGGCGACGGCGCGCGAGGAUGGAGUUUCGGGAGGUUGCGUGCGGGCUUGGCUGAAGACGCGGCGCGCGCUAGGGCUUCGCUGCGGCAGGCGUGCAGCAGGGGAGAAGAAAGAAAAGAGAAAGAAAGAAAGAAAAAGAAAGGAAAGAAAGAACAGAAAAGAAGGAAAAGAAAAAGGAAUUUUUCUUUUUUUUCUUUUUCUUUAGGCUACGGUUUAGAGGACAAAUUUUUCUUCUUCUUGUUUUCUACUUUUUUAUUUUUUUAUUUUUUAGUUUUUAAUUUAUUACUAUUAUUAUCAUAUUUAAUUGAGGAAAAAAAAUGUUUUUUUUUAAAUCCCUACCUUUCCCACGAACGUGACGCGGGCACGUCAAGAGGGCAAGAGAGCUCCCAGAAGUUUCAGAAUUUUCUGAUCGUAAGCGUCCUGCACAUCACCACGCGGGCACGUCAUGAGGACAGGAGAGCUCCCAGAAGUUCAGAAUUUUCUGAUCGUGAGCGCCCUGCACGUCACCACGCGGGCACGUCAUGAGGCCAGGAGAGCUCCCAGAAGUUUGAAGUUUCUGAUUCCUGCCCGUCAUCACGCGGGCGCGUCAUGACUGAAGGUCACCUACAAAUCAGCAAAAACGAAAACUAACACCCAAAAUCAGUCAAAUUCAGGGAAAGCAGAUUUAAACUAUGCUACAAAACCAACAAACAAUUAAAAGAAAUAAUUAGGUUGCCUCCCAAUGAGCGCCUUUCUUUAAUGUCUUUGGCUAGACAUGGUAAAGUGUCACUGAUUAGGACACGGUGGUGCGUCAAGCCUUAUUGUCUCCACCUCUCUACCUGAAAAUCCUUCGUAAUAAUAUUUGAGACGGUGUCCAUUCACCACAAAUUUGUUGUCUGUCUUAGCACUCUGGAUCUCAACUGCACCAUAGGGAAAAACAUGAGUAACAAUGAAAGGUCCAAUCCAACGGGAACGUAGCUUACCUGGGAAUAGCUUGAGCCUGGAUUGGUACAGGAGGACCUUCUGACCAACUUCAAAUGUUUUUCUUGAAAUUUGUUGGUCAUGAAAUGCCCGGCUUUUCUCCUUAUAUAUCAAGGCGUUUUCGUAUGCUUCGUUCCGGAUCUCCUCCAAUUCUUGCAAAUCCAACUUCCGUUGAGCACCGGCCUCCUCUAAAUUCAUAUUGCAGUGCUUUAUCGCCCAAAAAGCCUUGUGCUCGAACUCCACUGGAAGGUGACACGGCUUCCCAAAUACCAACCUGUACGGUGACAUCCCAAUAGGAGUCUUGUACGCCGUCCGAUAGGCCCAGAGUGCGUCUUCCAACCUUUGGCUCCAGUCUUUUCUAUCAGGGCGCACCAUUUUCUCUAAAAUGGACUUAAUCUCCCGAUUCGACACCUCCGCUUGACCAUUGGUCUGAGGGUGGUAUGACGUUGAGACCCUGUGGAGUACACCAUACUUGCGAAACAACGCAGCUAUGGUUUUGUUGCAAAAGUACGUUCCCCUAUCACUGACAAUAGCUCUAGGCAUUCCAAACCGCACAAAGAUAUUAGACCUGAUAAAAUCUGCAACUACUCUCGAAUCAUUAGUUCGAGUGGCCUUAGCCUCCACCCAUUUAGACACAUAAUCAACUGCCAGCAAAAUAUAUAAAAAACCAAAUGAAGUAGGAAAAGGCCCCAUGAAAUCUAUACCCCAGACAUCAAAAAUUUCAACAAAAAUCAACGGGACCUGGGGCAUUUGAUCUCUACGGGCUAUAUUACCUACCAUUUGACAGCGAUCACAUGACUUACAAAACACAUAGGCAUCUCUAAACAAUGAAGGCCAAUAAAAUCCACUUUCUAAAACCUUAUGAGCAGUUCUCUUAGGUCCAAAAUGACCUCCACAGGCAAAAGUAUGACAAAAAGCUAAAAUUGAUUGAAAUUCCAUUUCACUUACACAUCUCCUCAUCACUUGAUCGGCACACCUCUUCCAUAGGUACGGGUCAUCCCAGAUAAAAUACUUGGCAUCGCUCUUCAAUUUAUCCCUCUUCGAUUUCGGCCAACCUGCAGGAAAAUUACCAGUUACCAAAUAAUUGACCAAAUCAGCAUACCAAGGCAACUGAGAAUUUAAGAAAAAUAGGUAUUCUUCGGGGAAUGCAUCCUUCAAUGGCUCGCUAUCCUCUUCAACUAGUAUGCGACUCAAAUGGUCCGCUACUAGAUUUUCUGAGCCUUUUUUGUCCCUUAUCUCCAAGUCAAAUUCCUGUAGGAGCAGUAUCCACCGUAUGAGCCUCGGUUUUGCAUCUUUCUUGGUCAUCAGGUACCUCAAUGCUGCAUGAUCAGAAAAUACAAUCACUUUAGCACCUAACAAGUAUGACCUAAAUUUUUCCAAAGCAAAAAUAACUGCCAGAAGCUCCUUCUCAGUGGUGGAAUAAUUCAACUGGGCUCCAUUCAAGGCCCGGGAUGCGUAAUAGAUGACAUGAGCCGCCUUGCCUAUUCUUUGCCCCAGUACAGCCCCAACAGCGUGAUCACUGGCAUCGCACAUGAUCUCAAAUGGCAAAUUCCAAUCGGGGGGUUGGAUGAUUGGGGGUGAAGUCAGCAAUUCCUUCAGCUUGUUAAAGGCUCUCUCACACUUAUCAUCAAAUUCGAAGGCUACAUCUUUUUGUAGGAGUUGGAACAACGGGGCUCCAAUCUUUGAAAAAUCCUUGAUGAACCUUCGAUAAAAACCUGCAUGUCCAAGAAAAGAGCGCACCUCCCGCACACUCGCGGGGUAAGGUAAUGCAGAAAUAAUGUCUAUUUUAGCCUUGUCAACUUCUAUGCCCUUAGACGAUACAAUAUGACCCAGGACUAUUCCGUGCUCAACCAUAAAAUGACAUUUUUCCCAAUUAAGCACAAGAUUAGUCUCUAUACACCUGAUCAGGAUUAAUUUCAGGUUAUCUAGACAAGUAUCAAAACUAUCACCAUACACACUGAAAUCAUCCAUGAAAACUUCUAUUAUUUUCUCAACAUACUCGGAAAAGAUGCUUACCAUACAUCUUUGGAAAGUCGCAGGUGCAUUGCACAACCCAAAUGGCAUUCGUCUGUAGGCAAAGGUCCCGAACGGGCACGUGAAGGUUGUCUUCUCUUGAUCCUCCGGGGCAAUUGCUAUCUGAAAGUAUCCUGAAAAUCCAUCCAAAAAGCAAUAAUAAGCCCUACCAGCUAAACGUUCAACCAUUUGGUCAAUGAAAGGGAGAGGGAAAUGGUCCUUUUUGGUGACGGCGUUUAGCCUACGGUAAUCUAUACAUUGCCUCCAUCCAGUGGGUUUGCGCACUGGCACGAGCUCACCAGUUUGGUUGGCCUCUACCGUCACUCCUGCAUUCUUUGGGACUACCUGGACCGGACUCACCCAAGGGCUAUCAGAUAUUGCAAAAAUGAUGCCCACAUCUAGCAAUUUUAGAAUCUCUUUCUUUACGACUUCCAUCAUGAGGGGAUUGAGCCUUCUUUGAGCCUGCCUAACAGGUUUGGCAUCGUCUUCCAGCCUAAUCCGGUGCAUACAAAUGGCCGGGCUGAUCCCCUUAAUGUCUGCGAUUGUCCAGCCUAUUGCCUCUUUAUGCUCCCGAAGGACCCGGAUCAAUUUCUCUUCCUGGGUCUUUGACAGUGCCGAUGAGAUAAUCACUGGGAGUGUCUCAUUAUCACCUAGGUAUGCGUAUUUCAGGUGCUCUGGUAGAGGUUUCAACUCCAGUACAGGUGCCUGCACCACAGAUGGCAAUACCCUCUGGUGAGCCUUGGGAGUAAAAAUAGGUAAGACUUCAUACCUUUUCGUGGUGGUCUGCAACGAGUGUAAUGCACCUAUUGUGCAUUUUAAAUCCUCGCUCCACUCCACCUCAGGAGUUGUCUCCAACUCGAGGUGCUUGGUUAAAGCCACCUCCAGCUCAUCCCUGCCAUCAGUUUCAAACACUUCCUGCACUACAGGGUCAAUAGCACUCACAGAAAAAACUGAGCUAAAGUUGGAGUUAGAGGGGUACUUCAUAGUAUCAAAAAUAUUAAAAUGCACAAUUUACCCAUCAAACUCCAUGGACAAGGUACCCUUAUUAACAUCAAUUUUCGUCUGCGCAGUGCUCAUAAAAGGUCUACCCAAUAACAAAGGUGAGGGAUCAGGGGAGUGAUCAUCAUCCAUAUCUAGUACAUAAAAAUCAGCUGGAAACACCAAAUCAUUAACCUUUACCAACACAUCUUCAAUCAACCCAUCAGGAUAUGCAUUAGUUCGGUCAGCUAAUUGAAUAAUUAUUCCAGUUUCUUUUAAUGGACCUAGUUUCAAAGAAGCAUAGAUAGAUUUAGGCAUGACAUUAAUUGAUGCUCCCAGAUCCAGCAUGGCCCUUCUGAUCACAGUAUUACCUAUCUUACAGGGAAUAGUAAACAUACCUGGGUCCCCGCACUUUGGUGGGAGCUUUCUCUGCAGGACCGCAGACACAUUUUCUCCAACUAUGACCCGUUCAUCUCCCCUCAACCGCCUUCGGUUGACACACAAGUCCCUUAGGAACUUGGCAUAUUUUGGUACUUGUUUGAUGGCGUCUAAGAGGGGGAUAUUUAUCUCAACCUUGCGAAAAACCUCCAAGAUCUCCUUCUCCUUAUCCUGCUUCUUCGAUUUUUCCAACCUGCUAGGAAAAGGAGGCGGGUUAGUUUUAACUGUAAUUAUUGGGUCAGGAAGUACCUCUGGAUCUGCACCAUUGCUGUCCUCCCUUUCGAGCUCAUUUUCGAUCUUCUCUUCAUCCUUGUCCUUGGGAAUCACAGGUUCAGGCCCCUGAAUUUCUUUCCCACUCCUUAGGAUCAUUGCGCUCACGUUCUUCGGAUUCAACUCCGGUUGAGAUGGCAGCUUCCCUUGGUUCUGGGACUCCCAACGGUUCAUUCUGGUGGCCAAUUGACCUAUCUGAUUCCUUAUGUCCUGCAUUUCGGAGUCCGUCUUUUGCUGAUUUUGCAUAAUAGCUGCCUCCGUCCUUUGCUGAUUCUGCGCCAUGGUUGUCAUCAUUUGUUUCAGCAUCUCAUCCGUAGAUGAACCAGAUUGAGGGAGCGGAGGUGGUCGGGGUUGGUAUUGCUGCUGGUACCCUGGUGGCUUAUUUGGCACAAAGUUAGACUGCCUGUUUGGCGUGAAGUUGGAUUGCCUAUUUCCACCAUAACUGAGGUUGGGAUGAUCUCUCCACCCGGGGUUGUAGGUGCUUGAGUAAGGGUCGUACUGCUUCCUUGGCGCGGGCGCGUGGUCAGCCAUGUUCACCUGUUCCGCAGUUUCUUCCUGAAUCAUUGGGCACAUGUCUGCAGAGUGACCUAUACCAGUGCAAAUCCCGCAUACCCUGGCUUGUGAUGCAUUUCUCACAGCCUAUUGCCUAACGAACGCAGUCAACUCAUUUAGCUGCUGCUGCACAGAGGGUGUCUCUAUCUCAUUCACCCUACGUAUUGGGACAUCCUAUCUUGUACUGAAUUGCUGUGAAUUCUCUGCCAUCCCCUCUAUUAACUCCCGUGCUUCCUGAGGGGUUUUGUUCACCAGUGCCCCUCCACUUGCAGCAUCAAUGAUGCUCCUGUCUCUAAAAAUGAGCCCCUCAUAGAAAUAUUGUAUGAUCAACUGCUCACUUAUUUGGUGAUGGGGGCACCUGCGCAACAAGCUCUUAUACCGUUCCCAAUACUCGUAAAGUGACUCCUCGGGAUGCUGCUUGAUCCCACAAAUUUCUUUCCUUAGACUCGCAGCCCUGGACGCAGGAAAAUAUUUAUCCAGAAAUUUUUUCUUCAAUUGGUCCCACGUGGUGAUGCUACCUGGUGACAGGUAGUACAGCCAGUCCUUCGCAGAAUCUUUCAAGGAGAAGGGGAAUGCCCUCAUUUUUAUCUGCUCUUCUGUGAUUCCCGGGGGUUUCAUACUGUUGCAAACGACAUCAAACUCCUGCAGAUGCUUAUACGGCUCUUCACCUGGUAAACCAUGAAAAGAGAGUAAAAGCUGAAUCAGACCAGAUUUUAGUUCAAAUGGAAUGUUGUCAUUUAAAGCUGGGAAAGUAAUGCAUAACGGCUGCUGAGUUAAAUCAGGAGCAGCCAACUCCCUUAAUGUUUAUGCAUUAGCCAUGGUGCCUUCCUGCUGGUCAGAGUCACUCGAAGUGUUACCAAACGAAUCUGUUGGUUCAACUUCUGACUCGGGUCUUUGAGAUGUAGCACUAGAGUGCUCUUCUCUGAGCUGUCUGGUUUCCUUUCUCGUUCUACGCGCGGUCUUCUCUACCUCAGGAUCAAAAACCAAAUCACCUGUGCGACAAGAUCGAGGCAUACACUAGAAGAAAACCAGAAAAUUAGGACAAAAUUGAAUUUAAGAAGAAACAAAUAAUAACGCCAGUCCCCGGCAACGGCGCCAAAAAUUGACAGGUCGUCAACCUGUGCAAUAAUAAAAUUAAACCUAAUUGCCAGUUAAAAUGACCAAAACCCAAUUCCAAGUACUGGAGCAGGGACUCUAGGUGUGCAAUGGGUUACUUGAUUCACCCUGUUCCCGAAGAGUUUGCUUGAUCCGAUAUACCCGAAUGGAAUGGUUAUUCCUUUUCACAAAUGAUUAGGAAUUUGUAGACAGGGCAAGUAGGGUCGUAUCCACAGAGACUGGGUAUAUUUGUUUCUUAAGAAAUCCAAAGUAACACAGGGGGUGAUUUUGUAGGAACGACGAUAAUUAAAUAAAUUCAAAUGAGAAAGUAAAAAUAAAUAAUUAACUAGAAAUUAAACCACAAUUUACUGAACUCAGGAUAACAAUAGUUAAAGGCCUCAAUUAAUUAAAAUAAGGAAACAAUCAAAAAUAAAAUAAAGUAGGUAAUUAAAAGUCAAAUGGCAAUCCACUACAAUCAAGGAAAUAUUAACUAAAGAUCUAGCCAAGAAAUAACUUCAGCAAUGGUUCACCUAAUCGAUCAUUGAUGCAAAGCAAUCCCAAUUAUUUACUAAUAAAUAGGUUAUAACUACCAAACAAGCGAUGGCAGUCAACCCCUCCUUACUGUGUCGGUGAUCAAGGUACGCCCGUUAAUCACUGCUCUAAUUGAGAAAUAAUCCUAGGUACGCCCGUAGAAUUUAAUUCCCCAACUGCCUUACGUAUUAGAGGAGCCCUAUUCUACCCAAAUAACACACUACCAGGGUUAUUUUAGAUUAGCCCGCGUAUCCCCCUGACACGAAUCUAAUCGUGCCAGUUGUCACUAAUUUGAGGUAAUUAAACAAUUACGGAUUCAAUACCCCAAUUGACAAUAGAUUAUCAAACCAAUGAAUUAUCCGGAUCCAAGACAAUCAACUAAUUAAAUAAUCAUAAGCACUGCAACCAAGGAAUAUGCGAAUACCAAUAAAUAAAGGAAAAGAUAAAAUUAAAUCGAUCUCACAAUUUACAGGUGAUCCAAAGCAUCAGUCGUUUCUUGACUAGAACGAGGGGGUUAGCUCAUAUUGGAUGAACUAAGCCCGCGGGAAAUUCCAGCAAAAGUCACGGCCGUUGUAUGCAUUUCAAGAGCCGCAAUUCGUCAAACACUUGGAAAGCGAAUGUAAGGCACGGGUAACAAUUGAAGCUUUCUAAUUGUUCCUAGCAUUCGUAAAGCAAAUUCACUCCAGAAGUACAGUGAGGAAAAGUCAAAGAAAGUGGGCUUCAAUUCCUUGCUCCUGACAUGCGUGGAGACAAGCCAAUGCAAGACUACAAUAAACUAACAAGGAAAAGUCAAGAAUUGGAGCUAAGCUCCCCUGCCAUGCGCAGGAAUCCGAAAAGUAAAAAGUAAAGCUUCAAAGAAAAGUCAACAAUUCUUCCUAAGCUACAGACGGAAGAUCCAGCACAAAAGCCAGCUCCCUUUUUUAUCCCUUUUUCCCCCUUCUUAUUGCGGCGGCUCACCAGGAGAGGAGAGCCCUCCGUCCGUCCUUUCUUCCGAAAAUUACCAAAAUGGGCAUGACAUCUUCUCUUCCAAAAGUGCCCCUGGGACAAGCUUUCUCAUCUGAAUUCUUUUUUUUUCCAAUUUGGCACCUGUUAUCAUAUUUAUAUUCUACUCCCUGAAAUAAACGUCAAAUACUAAAAGUGAGUAGAAUCCAGCAAAUAAAUCCACAUCAAGUCAGGUAAUAGGAGGAAUUAAUAAUAAAAUAAAUGAAUAAAUUGCACCCUAUCAGAAAAAUGCAAAAAUUUGUUAUUUAUCAUUAAGGAUCAUAUCGCAUAUAACAUCAAAAAAUAGUAUAUUAUUUAUAUCUUUCACUUAAUAUAAUAUCCAAAUUACUCUUUUCAGUUACAUACCCAUUGUUAGACAAAAUCAACAACAAAUAACCAAAAAAUUUGCAACCAAAAUAUUACCAAAAAAAUAAACUUUAACAUCAUAAAUAUUUUUAUCAACAUAUUAAAGUUAGUUAUUGAAAUUUUUAUGGUGUUAAACUUCACUCUUAGCAAUAUUUUGGUUACAGAUUUUUUUGAUUAUUUAUUGUUGAUCGUGUUUGACAAUGGAUUUGUAACUGAAAAGAAUAAUUUGAAUCUUACAUUAAGUGAAAUAUAUAAAAUAUUAUACUAUUUUUUAUGGCAUAUGUGAUUCUUUUUUUUUUUUUUAUCAGAACGGCAACAUUGUAUUAAUAGUAAACCAAUUACAGUAUAGGUGGGCAACCGCCCUCACAAUCUGCCUGGACUUGUUCCAGCAGCCAAACUGGGAAGUUUUCCUUCCAUUCAGUAUUUUGUUCCAAAGUAAUAGCUACUUUAGCUAGUUUAUGGCUAACAAAGUUGUUCACCCUAUUUGCAAAGGUAAAACAACAUUCAUCAAAUUUUAUUCAUGUACAAUUGUUGCUAUCACCACGUCCUCCUCCUCCUCCUCACUGCACACUACUUGACUACCACCCUUCGCCAACCUUGCUGUUGCAUGUGCAACUAUCAUGGCCUCUCUUAGCGCCUUUGCUUCUUCGACCUUUGGACUGGCACAGCUAAAAUUUGGAACAGCCCAGGCCCACCCGCAAUCUUCCCAACCAAUCCCUGGCCACCCUUUUCCCACCCAGCUUCUAUGGCAUGUGUGAUUCAAUCCUUCUUGAUAGGAUUGGUAAUAGAGGCAGAGGGGGGAGCCGGCUGCAUCCGGUCUACUUUUCAUAGAUAGUACAAUAUUGCGAAAUCGAUCGCAUUCACACAAGAAUAUUUCGAAGUCAUUGCAUCGCUAAGUUGCAAAAAAGUACAAACACUUGUUAUUAUAUAGCUUAAGAUUCAAAACUUUAGAGCACAACCCUCCACCUAACACAAUUGAAUAAUGAAUAUUCACGAUUGUCAAAUCUGUCAAAGCACAGUUUGAGGACAACCCAUUCCAACCUGCAAAAGAUUUUUGACUUUUUUAAAGUUGUUGAGAGCUGUAAAAAGACUUACCAUGCUUACAUCUUCCGAGCCUUGGGAGUUAAAAAUGAAGGCACUGAGUGCUAUAAAAAGGGGGCUAGAGGCUGCCUAGAAGCAUAUCAGCCUAAAACAAGAAUUUGUAGUUAUGAUGGGAAGCAAAGCAAAAGCAAUGGGGUCUGGGCUGACUCCUCUUCUUACCACUGUUUUAGUGGUAUUUGUUGCUCUUGGCUUGCCCUCAGAAACUGCAGCUGAUGAUCACUACAAGUAUUCAUCUCCUCCUCCUCCUUACCACUAUCCCUCACCACCACCUCCAGUGCAUUUACCUCCACCAGUGUACAAAUACAAGUCCCCACCACCACCUCAUCAUGUUUACAAGUACAAAUCUCCACCACCCCCACCACCACACCCAGUUUACAAGUAUAAGUCGCCACCACCACCUCCUCAUCCGGUAUACAAGUACAAGUCUCCUCCGCCACCUCCUCAUCCGGUACCACACCCAGUUUACAAGUAUAAGUCACCACCACCACCUCCUCAUCCGGUACCACACCCAGUUUACAAGUAUAAGUCUCCUCCGCCACCAGUUUACAAAUAUAAGUCUCCUCCACCACCACCUCCAGUGUACAAAUACAAGUCUCCACCACCACCAGUUUACCACUACAAGUCUCCACCACCUCCUCCCCCAGUUUACAAAUACAAGUCUCCACCACCACCACCACCAGUUUACCACUACAAGUCACCACCACCUCCUCCCCCAGUUUACAAAUACAAGUCUCCACCACCUCCUCACCACUACUAAGCAAUUGCUUCUGAGGUAAUAACACUUGUUCAAUAUACCCACUUCUGCAUGAUAAAGCAUAUCUCUAUCAACACAAACUGUCAUGUCUAUCAUGCUAAGUGCCUUCACUUCAUCCACCAAAAUGACUGCUAGAAAAUUUUUUUUAUGUUACCAAAGAAAGGCAUCAUUUUUUCCCUCUGUUAUCAAGAACUUGUACAGUAUAUAGAUUAAAGAGUAUUUUUUUAACUAGCUUAUCAACUGAGAAAUGCAUAUAGCUGAUAGCCAGCUGAAUAUUUGCAGGCAAAGGAGAAGGAAACCAGUGUUUGAGACCUUCUUGAAGAUGUAGAAGCAUAAGAAUUAAAGCCCAAUGUGAAGAUGAUGAUUUCAAGUUUUUCUACGUUACCAUUUCUUUAUCUAAAUUGGUUGUAGCGCCUUAGUUCCUUUGUUUAUGGGAUUUGUAUCGUUUUACGUACCAUGCAGUACAUGUCAUGUUUGUAAGGUUUUCUAUCCUGCCGGCAAACCGCAGGUUCCAUGUAAUAAAUCAAUACUAUUUAUAUUACGACACUUUUCUCUGUUUCUCUUAUAUUUUGUCGUCUUUAAUAUUCUUAAUCAUAUUUUUAACAAAAAUAUUCAAACACUUAGGCAAUCUGGUCUAAUGCUAAUUGUAUGUUUUACUUUUCUUUUUCACCUGCUCCCCUUUUCAACUCAAAAGGAUGCAAUAGUUUGUGAUCACUGUUGAAGACGGAAGCAUGAUACUAAUGAAUAUAUCAUUGAAACUCAAGGAAACUAACAUUAUGAAAAGUGUAAAUCUUGAUUUGAUGCAACUAUUUAUUCGUGGAAUCUAUAGUUACAAAACUCAAACUCUGACUGCGCCAUUGAUAAAUUAUUAAUGACGCUAUCAUCAUUAUUUAUCCCCAACUAGUUUCGACUACAACUGAACCCAAUAUUUUCCCCAUGAUAAAAGUUUUUUACUAUUUUACUGGCCUCUCUUCAAAUUUUAAAAAUUACACUAAUCUUCAUUGAGAUUAAUUAUCUUGUAGCAUUUAAGUCCAAUUAAUAAUUAAAAAAUAAUAUUAUGAGAGAGAAAAUAAUAUAAUUUUAUCAUUGCCCCCCAUCUUGCUAUAUUAUUUAAUUAAUUUAAUAGCAACCCACACAUUAAAGAAAAAUACUAAAAUUUGCUGCUUUUCAUUAAAGAUCAAAUUGCAUAUGCCAUAAAACAUAGUAUAUCAUUCUAUAUGUUUCACUUAAUGUAAGAUCCCAAUUGUUCUUUUCAAUUACAAACCCAUUGUCAAACAUGAUCAAUAACAAAUAACCAAAAAAUUUGCAACCAAAAUAUUACAAAAAAAAACUUUAACAUCAUAAAUAUUCUUACCACCUCUAGUGCAUUCACCCUCAUAAAAUAAUUCAAGACCCUACUGUCAUAAAAUGACUGAUCAACUCCUGUAAACCUAAUUUGACAACAUUUAAAUGGAGAACUUUAGCUAAAAGAAUUAUGGUCAAGCUAAAGAAAAAACCAGUUAUUUUCCAACAUAUGCAAUCAUUGAUCAGGGAAAAAAAAAAGAAGCAAAAAGACAUCUUCAAUCAUUUAAUAGCUUACAGGGCAAAUUAACCCCUAAGCGAAAACUGGUUGCUCUAGAAUCAAAAUUUUACUUUAGUUACCCAGGCAACUUUUUUUGUUGCCUUUUCUUUUUCUUUUUUGGGUAUAUAUAUAGCUCCAGUUUUGCCCCCUCUGUCAAGCUUAUAUAAUUAUUAAGAUAAUAAAAGUGCCUUUAAUAGUAUUAAUAUAUCCAUUGACUUGAGCUGUCAUCGAUCGGUUUGGGCUACUUCGAUUCCAUGAGAACAAAUGGUAAUAAAAGUACUCAGAAAAUGGGGAGUCAUGAAACCCUUUUGUUCUAUUCAUUGCUAAGAUGCUUUUCUCUAUAAAGACACUUCCUAACGAAAAUACUUUGUAGAUUUCUUUACUCCAAGUGGUGCAUGGAAAAUUAAUAUUUUCAAUUAUCAAAUAAAAUUCCCUUUUUUCGGUGUAGAUUUCAUCCAUUCAGCUGUUAACACUCCGAAUUGACUAAUCUUUUCGUUUCCAUUUUCCAACUUGCGAAUACGGCAUCUUACAUAUUGUCUGCUGAAUAUGAAUACAUAUCCCUUUUCUGAGCAGGUGCAGAGUCAUUAUCAUUUUUAUUCCCACCUAACAAAUUAGUUAAUAAUCUUUUAAAGAACAUGUUAAAUUAAUUUAUUGGUAUGAAUAGUAGUCAAAGAAGUAUGUUAAAGUUAGUAAUCUUUAAAAUAAUAUGUUAAAAUUAUUCGUACAAAUUAGCCAGAGAAGUAGCAUAAACACCGCGAUGCAAUUAAUACUUUCAAUCUCAAGGUCUCUAUUAUGGAAAUUUGCAUCGGUCAACAUACACAAAGCAUUAUUGUAUGCACGUCUCUCUAUUAUGGAAAUUUGCAUAGGUCAAUAUACACUUGGCAUAGUUGCAUGCACGUCCAAUUUUUUUUUAUUUUUAUUUUUGGUAUUUUACUUCCUGCCUUAAGUUGCCUGCAGAUGUUUGUAUUACAAAUAUAUGGUAUACUAAAUAUAUAGUAUGCACAUUAAUUUCUUUGGGUUGCUUAAGGGUAUAUUGUUAAUAAUAGGGGGUUUAACCAUAAAUUAUAACAAUGAUGAAGUAAUAUAUAUUAGAAAAUUAACACAAUUAUGAUUUUUUUUUUUGUAAAAUUCAAAUUUUAUUAAUAAGAAAUGAAAUAGGCAGUAAGCAUUUACAAACCGAAAACAAAAUCCUACAACAACUCUAGGACUCUACACCUUAUUAAAAAAAAACAUUUUGAUAGCGUUUUUCCAAAAGCAGAAGAUGGAAAAUUGCCCAUUUGUACUGGGGAGUUCGUGAUCUUUUCCUCAUUCUAGUCUACUUACAAUUCUUGGAAAAAGGAAUACUCACAUCUCAAACAACAGCCUGUUCAUCUGCAGUGUCCUGCCGAAUUCUAGAAAGUUUGGUGGCAAUGUUAAUUACAUUUCAAAAUUGACUGCUGCGAUAACUAAUUCGAUGGCUUACUACAUGGUCAACGUUUGGAUCUCUUCCUGUCCUUUUUGGAUGCACAUUUUUUUUCUCUAGGUAAUAUAUAAUCUCCCAACUCAUUUCUUUACAAAUGCACCUUUAAUCACCACCAAAAGGUGUGGACAUGAUCUUUACCCUAGAAAACUAUUCACCGACAGGCAAAUUGACGUCAGAAAUACUAAGAGGAAUUCUAGUUUCCUUCGGGUUAAUGCCAUUUUGUACCCUUCAACUGUAACUCAAUUUCUAAGCUGUAAUUUGUGACAUUAUAGUCCUUAAACUAUGAAACCCUUUCUUAUUUAAUUACAAUGGUUAAUACAAUGCCCGUGACUAGACAAGUAUGAAGCAACCAUAACAAAAAAAAAAUCCAAAAUUAGAGAAAAGAAAGAAGUUGCGACCAAAGUAUGUAUCAAGGCAUAGUAUAGAAAUAAAAGUGUCAAAAUUAAGAGUUUAGGGAUAAAAAAGAAUCAAAAUAUAGUUUAGGAAUUGAUUUGUCUCAAUUAGAGUUUAGAUGUCAACUAAGAAGAGAGAUAUAGUUGAAGGGUAGAAUAUAGAUAUAACAGUUCAAUGAUUGAUAUCAACGAGACAAUGACAACUUUGGAUUAUUACCAACCUCUUCUUGAUGGAAAAGGAAAUAGAGAAGAAAGUCGGGCCUGGUCUAAGCCUGUUUCGGAGGCAAAACAACAUUAUGAAAUCACCGGCAUUCACACAAAUAUGUCAAAGUCACCGGCAUGCUAAGUUGCAAAAUUUAUACAAACACUGAAUAUUAUAUUCUUCUCAAAAUUUUUGUUUAAGAUUUAACAAUUAGAGCACGGUACACGAAUUAGCAAUAUUAAAUAAUGAAUGUUCACGAUUGAUAAAGUUAUCAAAGUACAGUUUGAGGACAACCCAUUCCAACGUGUACAAGAUGUUUAGCCUUUGAAAAGUUAAUUAGAGAAGGUGACGAGAUUUUACUAGGCUUACAACUUCUAGGCCUUGGGAGUAAAAAGUGAAGACACUGAGUGCUAUAAAAAGGGGGCUAGAUGUUGCCUAGAAGCAUAUCAGCCUCGGACCACAUUUUGUAGCAAUGGGGAGCAAAGCAAAAGCAAUGGGGUCUAGGCUGACUCCUCUUUUUACCACCGUUUUAGUGGUAUUUGUUGCACUUGGCUUGCCUUCAGAAACUGCAGCUGAUUACGACAAGUAUUCACCUCCUCCUCCUCCUUACCAUUAUUACUCACCACCACCUCUUGUGCAUUCACCUCCACCACCGCCAGUUUAUAAGUCACCCCCACCACCUUAUCACUACUUCUCACCACCACCUCCAGUGUAUCCAUCUCCACCACCAUCUGUUUACAAGUCACCUCCACCACCUUCGCCAGUAUACAAGUCCCCACCACCACCUUAUCAAUAUUCCUCACCACCACCUCCAGUGCAUUCACCUCCACCACCACCGAUUUAUAAGUCACCUCCACCACCUCCUCCAGUUUACAAGUCCCCGCCACCACCUUACCAUUAUUCCGCACCAUCACCUCCAGUGCAUUCACCUCCACCACCACCGAUUUACAAGUCACCUCCACCACCUCCUCCAGUUUACAAGUCUCCAUCACCACCUUACCAUUAUUCCUCACCACCACCUCCAGUGCAUUCACCCCUACCACCACCGGUUUACAAGUCUCUGCCACCACCUUACCAUUAUUCCUCACCACCACCUCCUAUGCAUGCACCUCCACCACCAAUAUACAAGUCACCUCCACCACCUCCUCCAGUUUACAAGUCUCCACCACCACCUUACCAUUAUUCCUCACCACCACCUCCAGUGCAUUCACCCCUACCACCACCAGUUUACAAGUCUCCGCCACCACCUUACCAUUAUUCCUCACCACCACCUCCUGUGCAUGCACUGCCACCACCAAUUUACAAGUCACCUCCACCACCUCCUCCAGUUUACAAGUCCCCACCACCACCUUACCAUUAUUCCUCACCACUACCUCCAGUGCAUUCACCUCCACCACCACCGAUUUACAAGUCACCUUCACCACCUCCUCCAGUUUACAAGUCUUCACCACCACCUUACCAUUAUUCCUCACCACCACCACUCUUCAAUUUGGAUGUAAUUCAAUUUUCCUUGUAAUCGGUGGCCCUCCUUCGGAAUCCAAAUAGUCAUUGAGUGCAGCCUUCUUUCUUUAUUUUUUACUCAUUUUCACCUCAUAAAUUGCUUUCAUCCCCUAAAACUUGUUCGCUGGAAUUUUGAAUUUACCCAUACAACUAAACUCAGAAAAUUCUUACACAAAGGGAUUAGUAGCAUGAAUAGCAAACACAGAAUAAGAGAUAACAGUAUGUUUUAUUGUAUUAAAAAUAUUAAAGUGGAUUAUUUCUCCAUCGAAUUCCAUUGUGAGAGUAUCGUUACUAACAUCAAUCUUAGUUUGAGCAGUACUCAAGAAUGACCUUCCUAAUAUAAUGGGUGAUGGAUUUGGGACACUUUCAUCAUCCAUAUAAAACACAUAAAAAUCAACAGAAAAAAUUAAUCCAUCUACUUGAACUAAAAACAUCCUCAACUACCCCAUUUAGAUAAGCAAAUAUACGAUCAGCCAAUUGAAUUAUUAUCCCUAUUUCUUUUAAAUGUUCUAAAUUUAGGGAAUCAUAAAUUGAUUUAGACAUCACAUUAAUAGAAAUCUUUAAAUCUAUCAUGGCAUUUUUUAUAUUAGAAUGUCCAAUCUUACAUGAGAUAGUAAACAUACCUAGAUUCUCGCAUUUAGGUGGUAGUUUCCUUUGUAAAAUUGCUGAAACGUUCUCAUCUACCACAAUAUGCUUGUCCUCCUCAAUUUCUUCUUGUUGACACACAAGUUUUUCAAGCAUUUAACGUAUUUUGGAACUUAUUUGAUUUGCGUCCAACAAAGGGAUAUUGAUUGCCACCUUGCGAAAAUCUCUAAAAUCUCCUUUUCUUUAUCUUGUUUCUUUGAUUUCUCUAACCUGCUUGGAAAAGGUGGUGAGUUAGUUCCAACUCUAAUUAUAGAAUCAACAAUUACCUUUGGAUUCACAUUUCUCAUUCCUUCCUCCUCAAGCUCUUUGUCGAUUCGAUCUUCAUUUUUAUCCUUUGGAAUCACAACUUCGGAUCCCUGAAUUUUCUUCUCGCUCCUUAAGGUCAUUACACUUACAUUCUUCAGGUUCAGUUCAGGUUGAGACGACAAUUUUUCAUAGAUUUGGGAUUCCAGGCGGUUGAUUGCUAUUACCAUCUGACUCAUCUGACUCUGCAGUGCUUGCACCUGUCCCAAUUGAUUCCUCAUACUUUGCAAGUCAAAAUCCAUCUUUUGUUGAUUAGCAAUUAAUUGCUUCAUUAUCUCUUCUAUAGAUGGACUUGAGUUUGAAAGAGGUGGUGGCGGGCGAGACUGAUACUGUUAUUGAUACCCUUGCUAUCUAUUUGGUGCAAAAUCUGGCUACCUAUUUCCUCCAUAGCUGAGGUUGGGAUGAUCUCUCCAACCAAUAUUGUACGUAUUCGUGUACGAGUCGUAUGGUUUUCUUGGCACGGCGCGUGACCAGCCAUGUUCACUUGCUCCGUACUUUUCUCUUGAAUCAUUGAGCACAUCUCUGUAGAAUGACCCAUAGCAGUGCAGAUCCCACACAUCUUGACUCGUGAUGCAUUUCCUAUAGCUAAUUGCCUAACAAAGGAUGUUAAUUCGGUCAACUGCUGUUGGAUAGAAUAUGUUUCUACCUCAUUUACUUUGCGUGUUGGGGCAUCCUCCCUCGUACCAAACUGUUGCGAAUUUUCCGCCAUUCCUUCAACUAGCUCCCACGCUUCUCGAGAAGUCUUGUUCACCAAUGCCCUUCUACUUGCAGCAUCAAUUAUACUCCUGUCUCUAAAACGCAGCCCCUCGCAAAAAUAUUGGAUGAGCAAUUGCUCACUUAUUUGGUGUUGAGGGAACUUGAUGCAUAACUUCUUGAAUCGCUCCCAAUAAUCAUAAAGCGACUCUCCUGGAUGCUACUUGAUACCGUAUAUCUCCUUCCUUAGACUUGCAGCUCGAGAUGCAAGAAAAUAUUUGUCCAAGAACUUUUUCUUCAGCUGAUCCCACGUGGUGAUGCUACCUGGUGGUAGAUAGCACAGCCAGUCUUUUGCGGAGUCCUUCAAGGAGAAGGGAAAUGCCCUCAUUUUUAUCUAUUUUUCUGUAAUUCUCGGAGGUUUUAUGCUGUUGCAAACGACAUCAAACUCUUGCAAGUGCUUAUACGGUUCCUCACCUGGUAAACCAUAGAAAGAUGGCAAGAGAUGAAUUAGACCAGAUUUUAACUCAAAUGAAGUGUUAUCAUUUAAAAAUAGAAAAGUAACUGAGAUGCAGCACUGGAAUGUUCUUCUCGAAAUUGUCUGGUCUCUUUCUUUGUUCUACGCGUAGUCUUCUCUACCUUAGGAUCAAAAAUUAAUUUACCUGUACGAGAAGAACGAGGCAUACACUAGAAAAACACUAGAAAAUUAGAACAAAAAUGAACAUAAAAAGAAACAAAUAAACCAACGUCAGUCCCCAGCAACGGCGCUAAAAAUUGACAAGUUGUCGAUGCCUGUGCAAUAAUAAAAAUAAACCUAGUUACCAAUUAAAAUAAUCAGAGCCUAAUUCUGAGUACUAGAGCAGGGACUAUAGGUGUGCAAUGGGUUACUUGAUUCACCCUAUUCCUGAAGUUUGCUUAACCCGAUAUACCAGAAUGAGAUUGCUUAUUCAAAAGGAAUUAUUGAUUUGUAAACAGGGCAAGUAGGGUCGUAUCAUCAGGGAUUGAAAAAAUUUGUUUCUUUUCAAAUCCACAGUAACAAGGGGAUGUUUUUGUAUAAAUGAUAACAAUCUAAGGAGUGCAAAUAGAAAUAAAUAGAUAACUAGAAAUUAAAUGACAAUUCACUAAAAUUAGAGUAAUAAUAAUUAAAGGUCUAGCUAAGAAAUAACUUCAGCAAUGGUUCACCUAAUUGAUCAUCGACGCAAAGGCAAUUCCAAUUAUUUACUAAUAAAUAGGUUAUAACUGCAAAACAAGCAAUGACAGUCAACCCCUCCUUACUGUCGGUCGGUGAUUAAGGUACGCCCAAUCACUGCUCUAGUUGAGAAAUAAUUUUAGGGACGCUCGUAAGAUUUAAUUUUCCAAUUGCCUUACGUAUUAGAGGAGCCAUAAUCUAACCAAAUAACGCUACCAGGAUUAUUUUAAAUUAACCCGUGUAUUCCCUUGAUACAAAUUCAAUCAUGUCAGUUGUCACUAUUUCAAGGUAAUGAAACAAUUACGGAUUUAAUAUCCUAAUUGACAAUAGGUUACUAAAUCAAUUCACUAUUUCGAUCCAAGAUAAUCAAUCAAUUUAACAACUAAUAGCACUGCAAUCGGAGAAUAUGUAAAUACCAAUAAAUAAGAGGAAAAGAUAAAAUUAAAUCGAUCUCACAAUUUUUAAACAAAUCAAAGUAUCCGUUGUUUCUUGACUAGAAAAGAAAAUUUAGUUCAUUCCUAAUGUGAAAGACCCACGUGAGAAUUCAAAAAUAAUAUUCACGGAUAUUGUCUUGAUUCAAUAGAUUCAAUUGCGUUGGAAUAAGGAUAAAAAGCCAAACUAUAGAGAGUGAUUCAAUGUUUUGUUUCGUUUGCAUUUUUUCUACACAUAUGGAAGAAGAAAAACAACUAAAGGACGAAAAAAAAAAGUCAAAGAAAGGCACCCAAAGUAGUGCUUGGUCUCUACCAUCCUAUUUCCUAUCUAAUUACUACUUCCCUUCUGCGGCUGCCUAGAGGAAGAAAGAGAAAGCAGACUUCAGGUCUUGUUCCAUCUCCUCCCUUUUCGGCAAUUCCCCAAAAGUAGAAAAGUUCCUCCGUUUACCAAAAUGCCCCUGGAAUGAGGACUGCUACUUGAACUCAUUUUCUUGAUAACUGUCAAAUUAGCACUUGUUAUGGUAUUUGCGUCUACUUCCUGUAAUAAAUGUAAAUUGCCAAAAGUGAGUAAACUGAUAAUUAAUUUACAUCAGGUCAGGUAAUAGGAAAAAUUAAUUAUAAAAUAAAUGAUAAAAUUGCAACCUAUCACUUAGAAUAACCAGAAAUAAAACAAAACAAGAAAUGAAAGAAAUAAGAGGGUAGCAUAGACAUUUUGGAUUUUUCUGUUAAUUUGGAUGAUUUCCACCUACGGUCUAAUUUAAUCCAAAACACAAAUGGAUUAUGUGGAGAUUUUUAAACAAUGAGGGAGUAUCGUGACCGAAUCCCAAACCACAAAGGGGAUUUACUAUAUUUUACUCUUAAAUUUUGGUUUCAUCUCAUAGCAUACAAGAGUACUAUUUCACUGUCUGUCGACCAGGGAGGAGGGUUGGGUUGGGUGGUACGGGGGAGGGAGUCUAAGUAAGAGGUCUCAGGUUCGAAUCCUCCUGUUUAUACUAAAAAAAAAAAUUUACUAUCUGUCGACAAAGAUUUUCUAUGGUUGAUGUACCAUAGGAAAAAUCUGCCUAUACAAUUAUUUGGAAAAAUUAUCCAUCCAAACAUAGUCACGAUAGCAUUUUUUCAAAAACACUAGAUGCAAAAUUGUCCCCUUAAACGUGGAAAUUCAUGAUCUUUCCUCGACUAGUCUACUUGUCAAUUUUUGAAAAAAGAAUACUCACGCCAAAAACACGGCCUCUUCAUCUGCAGAAUUCUAAAAAGUUACGUAAACUCUAUAAACAAGUUGAUAGGUACAAUCGUACCCAAGAUCAAGUACAGAUAGUUGUACAUUCACUGCUGCAAUAACUAAUCUGAUGACUUACAAACACAUCAUGGUCAAUCGUUGAAUGGUAAUGAGUCUUUUGUUAUGCAUUAGUAUUAGUGUGUACACUCUAAUAGAUUGAUACUUAUACUCUUUAAAUUAUCAUAAUAAUACCCUUAAUUAACUUUAACCCUUAAAAAGAAUACGUGUUAAUACACGAGAGUGUGUAACCUGAAUUGUUACUUAUACAUUAGUGUGUAAUAGAACGGCAAGCAUUAUGGUGGUCAUUGAGCAACUUAUAGGAGAAAUAGUCCUAUAAGCUGUUCAAUGACCAAUCACAACUUGCUAAUUGGAUGACUAAUAUAGCUCUAGCUGUAAUGUUUUAAUUAAAUUCCACACUAACGUUGGGAUGACUUUUUAAUCAAAAAAAAAAAAGCCUUAGUUCAAGCUUUUCCCCUUAUUGUGCAUUUUUUAAAACAUUUGAUAGGCACUGCAAAUCUGUCAUUUUGGACAUUUUAUUAUUAACUAACAAUGAAAGCCGUGGACAUCAACCCAUAUCCAACAAAAUAUUAAAUUAAUAUUAGAAAAAUUAUUAAGUAAUUGGAAAAAAAAAAGAAGAGGCUAAUUUUCAUUGAAACCCACCGACAAACUAUCCGUGUCCAUAGCUUUUGAAUAGUGCAUUCAACGUUUAAUUGUAUGGUCCAGUUCAUUGCCGAUUACAUGGAGUAAAGAUUGUGCUCUUUCCUUUUUCACCCCUUUUGGAAUCGAUACUGUGGAGAAUUGGGUUUUUCCCUCCUUUUUUUCUUUUCUUUCCUUCUGUGCUUUGCAAAACAUACGUAAAAAUAUGAAAUCCGAAGCAUUCUUUAAUUGGGAUUAAGUAUUGUUGUUGAAAUUAAAAAGAAGAAAGAAAGAACAACAAAAAUCCCAAUCUGGGUUGAUUGUUGAGCUCUAGAUUGGCUGCAUCGUGCUUCCAUAGAAGUUCUCUUAGUGUGAUACGCUGCUUUCAAUCAGUUUUAAUAUUUAAGUAGAGUGCAAAAUAACUUUACUAUUUAAUGGGUUAUAAUGCACCAUUUGGUACCUCUCACCCACCUAUGAUUUGAUUUACUACUGGCAUGGUAAUGGACAGAGUUGGGGGAGCAGGAGGAGGGAGAUGGCGGUACCAGUCCGUCAACCACAGCACACCCUCCCUCGGACUUUGCGUGGUAGCGAAGUGGAGGCAGAUCGAGCACACAUGCACUAACGCCUUAAGUAUGUACAAUAUAUGUAUGCCAAAAGCAUAGCCAAGCCUACCAGCGCAUUUCAAUAAUAUAACCCGGAAAUUAAGGGCAUUGAAUUAAGUACGAUGAAUCAUAUUGGUGCACAAUUACAGUUUGAAGCUACCGAUUCGAGUAAAUUUAAGCGUAAGCACAAUCAAUCGCCAGUCAAAUGCUGAAAUAUGCAUAUGCAUGGAUGAAUGUAUGGGUUUCUUAGUUCCAGACCAAAGGCCAACAAUAAGGGAAGGAAGGACAGUUCUCAUUUUUAGCACGGACAAGGAGAUGAAGAAAAGUGUAUGUAGCUUGAGACAGAACAAUGGCAUGUGACCGCUCCUGAGACCACAUAACGUGGGGUGGGGAUGGGACGGCCAAGAAUGAAGAUGCCUGUCGGUCUCUCCGUGCUGCUACCAUAUGAAUCCCCCGUUAACCAAUUCAAGAUAAGCCUGAAGUUCUUUUCAUCCCCAAACCCUGUCCCAUCUGUGUAAAUCCAACAUCAUCAUUUACGACCUGCAACUCAGGUUAAGCAUGUUCUAUUGAGAUUCAGACACCACCCUUCAAAAGAUAUACUACUGUGAAACCAGCAGCUUAAUAUCAUUGUAUAAAAAAAAAAAAAAAAGAAAGAAGAAAAGACAUGAAAAGCAAAUUUUGUGGGGAUAAUUUCAAAAUCUCUCCUAAAGUUUUUUACUAUUUUACUGGCCUCCUUUCAAAUUUUAAAAAUUACACCAGUCUUCCUUGAGAUUAUUUAUCUUGUAACAUUGAGGUCCAAUCAAUAAUUAAAAAAUGAUAUUAUGAGAGAGAAAAAAAAUAAACUUUAACAUCAUAAAUAUUCUUAUCAACAUAUUAAAGUUAGUUACUGAAAUUUUUAUGGUGUUAAACUUCACUCUUUGUAAUAUUUUAGUUACAGAUUUUUUGAUUACUUGUUGUUGAUUUUUUUUUUUUUAGUGUAAACAGGAGGACUCGAACCUAAGACCUCUCACUUACACUCCCUCCCCCCGUACCACCCCAACCCAACCCAACCCUCCCCUCGUUGUUGAUCAUGUUUGACAAUGGAUUUGUAAUUGAAAAGAACAAUUUGGAUCUUACAUUGAGUGAAAUAUAUAGAAUGAUAUACUAUUUUUUAUGGCAUAUGUGAUUCAAUCCUUGAUGAUAAAAGCAAAUUCAAGUGUUUUCUUUAAUGUUUGUGCUGAUAUUAGAUUAAUUAAAUAAUUUAGUAGAUGAAGGAAAAUGGUGAAAUCAUAUUAUCUUCUCUUUCCUAAUAUCACUAUUUAAUUAUUGAUUGAACUUAGAUAUUACAAAUAAUAAAUCUCAAGGGAGAUUAGUAUAAUUUUCAAAUUUUGGAGAGAAGCUAAUGAAAUAGUCAAAAACCUUAAGGGAGGUUUACAAAAUUAUCCCAAAUUUGUGGGAAUUAGAAUAAUUGUACUGGACGGCACUGCCGCAACAGAGGGAAAGAGGAGGAGGUGCAGUUAACUUUUUGUUGUUUGAAAUCCUUGGUGAAAUAUUACAGAAAGACAGAUAAAACAGUUAGUACAUAGAUGUAUAUGACAGGGAAAAUGGUACGUCUGUUAAUCACAUUUGAAACACUUUCAUUGGUGAAUGACGAAAACUAUCAGGCUUGCCCAAUAGUUGAUCAUUGACCAAGACAAAUCUUGCCAUGCUAGAGGUACCAUCUUUUCGUACCUCUUUAGUGCACAGGACAUUCCUUUGUUUCAUCUAGCUAAUAAUCUACCAACUCAUUUCUUUGCAAAUGCACCUUUUAUGGUCACGUCUACGAAAGCUUUACAGGAUCUUUACCCAAAAAAUCAAUUCACCGACUCGCAUUUGAUGUCAAAAUUUCUUUACUUUACUCCAAGAUUGACUGUUAAUAAUAAUGCCACUUUGAAUUAUCACACCAUCCUUCUUGAUAGGAUUUGUGCUAGAGGUAGGGAGGGAGUCGCUGCAGCCGGUCUUCUCUUCAUAGACAGUACAAUAUUGCGAAAUCGAUCGCAUUCACGCAAUAUUAUAUUUCCAAGUCGUUGCAUGGGUAAGCUGCCAAAAAGUACGAACACAUGUUAUUAUAUAGCUUAAGAUUCAAAACUUUCGAGCAUAACCCUCCACCUAACACAAUUGAAUAAUGGAUAUUCACGAUUGUCAAAUCUGUCAAAGUACAGUUUGAGGACAACCCAUUCCAACCUGCAAAAGGUUUUUUUACUUUUCUAAAGUUGUUGAGAGCUGUUAAAAGAUUUACCAUGCUUACAUCUUCCGAGCCUUGGGAGUUAAAAAUGAAGGCACUGAGUGCUAUAAAAAGGGAAUAGAGGCUGCCUAGAAGCAUACCAGCCUAAAACAAGGAUUUGUAGUUAUGAUGGGAAGCAAAGCAAAAGCAAUGGGGUCUGGGCUGACUCCUCUUCUUGCCACUGUUUUAGUGGUGUUUGUUGCUCUUGGCUUGCCCUCAGAAACUGCAGCUGAUGAUCACUACAAGUAUUCAUCUCCUCCUCCUCCUUACACUAUCCCUCACCACCACCUCCAGUGCAUAUACCUCCACCUCAUCCUGUUUACAAGUACAAAUCUCCACCACCCCCACCACCACACCCAGUUUACAAGUAUAAGUCACCACCACCACCUCCUCAUCCGGUACCACACCCAGUUCCUCAUCCGGUGCCACACCCAGUUCCUCAUCCGGUGCCACACCCAGUUUACAAGUAUAAGUCACCACCACCACCUCCUCAUCCGGUACCACACCCAGUUCCUCAUCCGGUACCCACACCCAGUUUACAAGUAUAAGUCACACCACCACCUCCUCAUCCGGUACCACACCCAGUUUACAAGUAUAAGUCACCACCACCACCUCCUCAUCCGGUAUACAAGUAUAAGUCUCUCCGCCACCAACACCCAGUUUACAAGUAUAAGUCACCACCACCACCUCCUCAUCCGGUGCCACACCCAGUUUACCACUACAAGUCACCACCACCACCUCCUCAUCCGGUACCACACCAGUUUACCAUACAAGUCACCACCAAUCCUCACCCAGUUUACAAAUACGAGUCUCCACCACCUCCAGUUUAUAAGUACAAGUCACCACCACCUCCUCCACCAGUUUACAAGUAUAAAUCUCCUCCACCACCACCACCAGUUUACCACUACAAGUCUCCACCACCUCCUCCCCCAGUUUACAAAUACAAGUCUCCACCACCUCCUCACCACUACUAAGCAAUUGCUUCUGAGGUAAUAACACUUGUUCAAUAUACCCACUUCUGCAUGAUAAAGCAUAUCUCUAUCAACACAAACUGUCAUGUCUAUCAUGCUAAGUGCCUUCACUUCAUCCACCAAAAUGACUGCUAGAAAAUUUUUUUUAUGUUACCAAAGAAAGGCAUCAUUUUUUCCCUCUGUUAUCAAGAACUUGUACAGUAUAUAGAUUAAAGAGUUUUUAUUUUAACUAGCUUAUCAACUUAGAAAUGCAUAUAGCUGAUAACCAGCUGAAUAUUUGCAGGCAAAGGAGAAGGAAACCAUGUUUGAGACCUUCUUGAAGAUGUAGAAGCAUAAGAAUAAAAGCCCAAUGUGAAGAUGAUGAUUUCAAGUUUUUCUACGUUACCAUUUCUUUAUCUAAAUUGGUUGUAGCGCCCAAGUUCCUUUGUUUAUGGGAUUUGUAUCGUUUUACGUACCAUGCAGUACAUGUCAUGUUUGUAAGGUUUUCUAUCCUGCCGGCAAACCGCAGGUUCCAUGUGAUAAAUGAAUACUAUUUAUGUUACGACA
rnacentral:lncRNA from 1 species